UCUUUGUUUUUUUUUUGUUAUGCUUCCCAGUCUUCAACCGCGAGGUACUCAGGAAACCAUACUAGUGAUAUGUGUCUUAUGCAUUGUGAACUUGUAAUAAUAUAAUCCUGUUUGUAAAUAAUAUAUGGCAGUUUGUAAUCAACACGGUCUUCAUAUACAAUGUUAACCACUAUAUGUAUAAUAUAUAUCUUUAAUGAGAUAACAACCAUACGUAAAUUAUUGUGUGAUAAAUUAUUUUUGCAAAAAAUAAAUCCAAUUAUGUGACUUUCAUAUGAUCAAUUAAAUACUUUAAAAAAAUUAACAGUCAAAAUAAUGAAUGUGUGUGCAGUACGAAUACUAUUUUCUUUAGUGGAAACAGUAACCCUGCUGGCACAGGGGCACUGAUAAUGUGUUGCACUAGGUUUGCACAGGCCAUGUUAGGCCGUGAAGAUGACAUGACAAAGAGCAUCGAUCACAGCAUGCCAGUGUGGCCCUUUUAUUGUAGGGUUUCCAAUGGCGCAUGAAUGCAUGAUGGUAUAGUAGUACGGUAAAAAUACAUAUCAUGUGCUUAUUACAACGAUACUACCGUUGUAUACUUGUAGUUAUAUGUGUUAGCUCAUUCUUAGUAACAAAAAAAUGAUAAAUUUGUUUUGCUUGGUGAAAUUGUGUAAUUAUCAGUGCUUGAGCAGGAACAACGAUUUUUUUAGAUUGCAAAAGAGUUGAUUAGUAGUUUUGGUAAGUCAUGGGUGAUGGGACAAUUAGCGAUUUUGUUAACUGGACUAAUAAUCAUAUCGGAUCAUAAGGUAUUUUCCGUACUAACUAUACAAACUACUUCCUCCGUCUCAAAUUAUUAUUCGUUUUGGAUUUUCUAGCUACAUAGCUUUUACUAUGCAUCUAGAUAUAUGGUAUGCCUAGAUAUGUAGCAAAUGUUAUGCACUAGAAUAGUUAAAAUGAAUAGCAAUUUGGGACGGAGGGAGUAAAUCCUUAGAAAAGAAAGGUCAUAUAGAUUAAAAAAUACAUCUUAAAUGUCACUCACUUUCAUAAAAAAUGAAAUUCACUCACUCACUCGACUGGGUAUAGAAUUGUGUUGAGAUAAGGUUGCCUAUGGUCCUAUUUGGAUACGCUUCUCCUAGCCACGCUUAAAUUAUAAUCAAAGCGAAGAUUUUCUCGCUUCUCGCUUUUCGCUUCUUAUAAUUCAAAUCUCUGAAGCGGUUUACCACAUAAGCGAGAAUCGGUGAAAAUAAGCAAAACGUUUGAUGGGAUUCUCGCUUAUUUUCACCGAUAAGUCGCUUAUAAGCGGAAACAAACGGGGUCUAUAUAUCAUUGCUACUGGUCCAAAUAAAUAAGUGGCAUCAUCAACGUAGUUUCAUAAUUGCUCUUCCGACCAUCAAUUCUUGUUGUGGUAAGCAAAACUGCAAAACUAAUAGUGGUGAUCAUUAUCUCCAUGGCGGCAACUGCACUGAGUUUGGGUUUAUGUACAAUGGUGAGUUUGUGAUGCGAGAAUGAAAUCUUAUCUGACCCACGUGCUUGCUACCGGAACAACAUGUGUCACAUGCAUCCAGACGCUGGUAGGAUGCCCUAGCCGCCAAUCAGAAUUGGCCGGGUUUCGAUUGCGGCGGCGUCAGAAUUGAAUUGAAGAAUAUUAGAGCGAUGGUCGGCAAGAGUUGCAUUGGGCCAUUGGCCGGGUGGCCGGUUGAUAGAGGAGGACCGGACCGUCGGUGGAUAAGAUGCAUGAGCGGUGUGGGUGCGAUCCAGCAACAACAAAAGAGAUGAACGCAGGCCGAGUUGAAUGCUUCCCCCGCCCGGAGCCCCGCCGGACACCGGACGCCGACGCGCAUCAAUGGAUGCAUGCCUGAGGAGUUGAGGGCCUCGCCGUGCCGUGCGUCGCCGGUCGGUUCCUUUCCUCAUAUCCUCGGCGACGGCUUCCGCCAACACGUGAACCAACGGCUCCCAUGUGCUGCGCGACGCGGGCGUGCACGGGAAAUGGAGCAGCGGUGACGCGGCAGAAUGCCGAGGGGGGCCCGCGCUGCUGCUGCUGGCACGGUUGCUGAUGCCUGCAGCGCAGCGCAGUGCAACAGAUCGACGUGAUGCGCGCCUGCAAGCACGGUAUCUACUAUCGUCGUCCGUCCAGCCCAUCCCCCCGUGCCAUCAGAUAAUAAUUCACCUCCAACAAGGCAAGAACCAACCUCCGUUAACAAGGAAUGAAGAUAAACAAGGCGUAUAGUAGCCAGAAUUCACGGAUGGCAAAAGGAGAGUACCAUGCAAAUACAAUGCUCAAAUAUGACAAGUCUCUACCCACGCUGAAAAGGAACAAAACAAAUUAAACAUGAUUAGGAUUAAAACGGUACGUCACCUGGGCGAUUAAUGUGAUAUGGAGGGAAUUACCCGGCCCUACCCGAAAUACUUUACGGCGUGAUCGGCAAUUUGGCAGCAGCAGCCUCUACAGCACCUGUAGCAGCAGCUACACCGCAAGCCAGCCAAGUAGCCUCUGGACAGUUGAGCGUGCAGCCGAGCGGCUGCGCUGCUGUGCAGCUGCAGCCGCAAAAGAAUCACAAGAGAGCAGGGGUUGGUGCGAUAUUUUCAAGGAAAACUCCUCCCACCGUUUGAAACUACAAGGCUUACUGCAUAAUUUUUUCAUCAAUAGUUACUCUAUUAAUAAUGCAUAUCUUUUUUAUUUUUAUGAUAUAAAGUUAGUGUUGUUGCAUUCCAAUUCAAAAGUACUAGCUUAUCGUUAUAACUUGAUGUCUCAAAUUACAAACAUAUUACUAGUCUUGACAAAUAACAUUGCCCCUAGUCACUCAUGGUGUUGUUUGGUUUUAUAGAUCUUGAUAAAUACGUACGUUGUGAAAACUAGAAAGCUAGUGCCAAUUACUUAUUUGGUUGGCUCCAUGUGCUUCUCAUUUAGAUGGGACCCACCUUGCUAGACUAUAAGCUAAAGAUGACAUAUUAAUAGAGUAUUUGCAUGUACUAAAUGACUUAAGGGCAUCCACAUUGUGCCCAAAACUAGUCCUAUAACGUUAUAAAGGUACUCAGAAACAGUCUUUAUAGCAGUCCAUAGUUGCAUGUAACCGUAUGCCUAGAGACCACCCAUAUAUCAAUAGAGACCACCCAUAUAUGUCAAGAACUUUAGGAAAACCUUCGAUUCUAUGGUCAUUCUCAACUUGUGGAUGAUUUGAAAAGAGCCAAAUGAUCAGACCUUCAAUCGUCGGUCAAUGACGGCAGCUCAACUAAUGAGAGGCAUAGCUAAGAAGCUUCUAUUUGGGUUCAAGUAGGACACCAGCUGUAAUCGGAUUUUAUUCCAAUAGGUGUGCGACAAGGUUGCGAUUUAGUUAUUGCGUAAUCUUCCUUUUUGCUUCCACAGGGCCACCCAUCAUCAGUGUGUUAGGUCCGGUCACUAAAAUUCUCUCUCUCCAUUGCCCUCUUCUUCCACCCAUGUUGAUAUUGUUGCUGCUCCUGCCACCAACAUGAGCUCGACAAGAUGCGCUCCACCACAAGGACGAUCAUGGAGCUAAGGGUGAGGAGGCUAGGAACCAGGAACUCAAAAGAGGAGGCCUAAGCCAAUGGGGCGCCACCCCAUCCACACCUCCACGGCUCCAUCCCUUCCCUAGCUAGUUGCCGAGCUUGAUGCUGGCAACCCAAUCCAUGUUCUCCUCUCCACACCUUCGCGUCCCCGCCCCUCCCCCUCAUUGCCGAGCUUGCCCAAGCUGUGGGAUCCAGCUGAGUUUGGAGAAGCCAACUUGAAAGGGAACAUUGGGCACCAUGAGCAACCUCAAACUUGGGAACCCGCCAUCAAGAUGCCUCCCCGCCAUUGUGGGAGCUGCACUUGAAUGGGGAACAGAGCCACCUUGACAGCGGCCAUGAGGCAUCUGAGGCUGCGGCAGGUCUUCCCCUUUUGCAAUUCCCUGCCCGAAUUUGUUCAACAGCAAGUUCACAGAAAAUAUAUGUGUUCUCUUCAUUCCAAUUUGCCUUCUCAAACUUUUUCUAUUACACAAAAUGUUUAAGAGAUUUAGUUUAAACAUUUACAAAUCAAGUGAAGCAUAACAACUAGCUCAAACAUUUCAGAUCAUCUAGUUCAAACAUUUCAGAUCGUCUAGUUCAAACAUUUCAAAUCAUCUAGUUCAAACAUUUUAGAUCUUCUAAUUCAAACAUUUCAGAUCUUCUAAUUCAAACAUUUCAGAUCUUCUAAUUCAAACAUUUCAGAUAACUAAACCAACCAAAACAACAGGAAGAUGAACCUGAACAUGACAAAAAUACAAAGCAGGAAACUUACGAAAUGGGAGGCGUCCUCAUCUUCAUCAUCCAGCUCUUCGUGGCCGCCAACAUCCUCUGCGUUGAUCCCGGCAGAGGUUGCUCCAUGGAUAGACAAUCUCCCACAACCUCUACCUCCCAUCCCACUGACGGAACCCAGAGGCGGGUCGCCAACGCGGAGGGGAGGACCUCCAACAUGGGGGCCGGAACCUAGAGGCGACGGACUGGAUGCAGUGUUGAUGGUGUGGCUGUGGCGACCACGCGCAGCCAGGCUUCUUCCACGGCCGGAUCCGGCACCACCACUGCUCGGUCGAGGAGGUUGGAACGCGCCAAAUUUGCCGCCAUCACCAUGACCUCUUCCCCGCUGCAGGUAACCCAAGUACUCAUCGAGGAAGGGGAAACUGUCACCCUGGGAGUUGAGAUCAAGGUGCUCCAUGUGCACCCUCCUAGCCGAGAGGCUUGGGGCCAUCGGUGCAUAGGACGGCGCUUGCGACAGAAGGUCCAAGUCAUCGGGGUCGGGGACGGCGGCGGAAGGAGGGAAGGCGGGAGCCGCCGAAGAAGAAGCACCCUGCGAGAAGUAGUCCCGGUAGCCGUUGUCGUGGUCGUCCAUGGUGGAUCCGGCGGAGGCGUGGGCAGGAGCGGGGGCGGUGGCAGUGUAGGGAAACGAGGGGGCGGAUCCGACGUAGGGAAGAGAGGGAGCGGAUCCAGCGGAGGCGUGGGGCGGAGCGGGGGCGGUGGCGGCAUGGGGAGCGGUGGGGGCGGAUCCGGGGGGAGGAGUGGGCUCGUGGCGGCGGAGGCGUGAGGAGGAACAGGGGAGGUGGCGGUGUACAGAGCGGAUCCGGUGAAGGCGUGGGCCGGAGCGGGGGCGGUGGCGGCGUAGGGAGCGGUAGGGGCGGAGGCGUGGGGAGGAGUAGGGGCGCGACGGCGGAGGCGUGGGGAGGAGCGGGAGCAGUGGGGGCGGCAGCGGCGAGGAAUGAAACGGGAGAGAGAGGCAGAAAUGGAUCGGGAUGGGUGGGGUGGGGUGGGGUGGGGUGCGGGGGGAGGGGGGGAGGUAGUCACGGACAGGACAUUAAUGAGGGUACUCCCUAUCUAGGGGUACCUUUUAGUCCCUAUAAGUAACCCCUUAGGGACUAAAGGGCUAAACUUUAGUUCAACUUUUAGUCACCCUAUUAGGCAAUUUAGGGACUGAAAGGGAUUAAAUCCCUAAAGUUUAGCAGGGGCAAACCAAACAUAGCCUUAUUUUCCCAAACCAAACAGAGCCUUAUUUUCCAUCUCCCAUGCACAUUUCGAUUUGAACGAAUGGUUGUGGAUGUACAUUGCUGGGGAAUCCGAUCCGUGUACAUGAAAAGAUCGAUUAAACGAGAGAGGAGGACGGGAUGACGACAAAAUUAGGGAGGGACGGGCGGCGGUGUGAAGGGAGGUGGAAGCAUGAUACUGAGAGAUGAGAAUAGUUAAUUGAUCAUAUUUAGUACUCCAUCCGUUCCAAAUUAUGCCGUUUUGGUUUUUAGAUUUAUAGCUUUUGCUAUGCACACGUAGCGUAUAUCUUUUAUGAGUGUAGAAAAACUAAAAUACCUAUAAUUUAAAAUGGAAGGAGUAUAUGCUAGCAGGCUGUCUCACCUAGAGUCCCUCGACAUUAUCGUGGCAAUAGAAAUAUGGCCAAACCUUUGGCCAUAUAGCCAUGUCAUAUGUCCCUCAACAUUCUCCUUGUCCUAAUAAGGGCCACCUGCCCUAAUAAGGAUCGCGUGCUCUCACCUUGCCCUUUUGGUUUUUAUUAUCAUUUUUUUGUCAUGUUCCAUCAUCCGAGCUCAGCGUUCCAAUAUAAUUUACACUUAUACUACAGUGUACAGUGGACUGCGUGGAGCAGAUACCAUAUCAACGACGCCCAUGCAUGCUUCCCGAUCCGGUGCCGAGAUCCUACGGAUCAGCAGGGCAGGUGCAGAAGGCCGACAAACAGCAGUAACCAAACGAGAAAAGUCUUACACGGAGAGGACAGACGGUACAAGAUGUAGGGUUGAUAGGGGUUUCCUGCUGAGCCUAGCUCCUUGAAAGUUUGAUUGGUUACCUGCAUUCAUUCAGUGAGGUCAUAGAUAGAAACUGUUUGGUUGCCCCACGAGUACAUCUUGUAUGAAAUAAUAUAUUAUAAACAAAUAUCAUUAUGAUAUUUAGGCCCCGUUUGCUUCCACUGACUUAUUUUUAGCACCCGUCACAUCGAAUGUUUAGAUACUAAUUAGGAGUAUUAAACGUAGACUAUUUACAAAACUCAUUACAUAAGUGGAGGCUAAACGGCGAGAUGAAUCUAUUAGGCCUAAUUAGUCCAUGAUUUGACAAUGUGUUGCUAUAGUAAACAUUUGCUAAUGAUGGAUUAAUUAGGCUUAAUAGAUUCGUCUCGCCGUUUAGCCUCCACUUAUGUAAUGGGUUUUCUAAAUAGUUUACGUUUAAUACUCCUAAUUAGUAUCUAAACAUUCGAUGUGACACGUGCUAAAAAUAAGUCAGUGGAAGCAAACGCCCCCUAUUGUGUGUAAGCAUAUUUUAAAAAUUCUUAGUUUAUCCUAUUAAACCUUAAUCACCUUUAAAAAAUACUAAUACCACUUACUAUAUACUAAUUAAUUACUUUCUUAAUACGUUCAUUAGUCAGUAGCCACCCGCAUCCAGCGAGCCAGGCCCGCGGGAAACGAGCUUUGUGGCUUUUGCACGCGUACAGCCAGGCUCACGCAGGCAACCAAUCAGCUGCAUGCUGCAUCCGGUGAGCCUGACUGGGGCUCGGUGCGGCCAACCAAUCAGGAUAGGUGUCGCAGCUCAUGGAUGCUGAUGUACUCCUACGUACACAAAAGGCCCUGCCGAGAGCAGUAUUUGCUCUGAGGUAGACAGGUAGUGGGGUGUUUUCAUUCGACAACACAGCACAGCACACAUGCAGCCAUGGCACAGCACAUUGAUCUGCAUGCUGUUUCAAAUACUGUUCCGUCGCAUGCUGUUUCAAAUACUGGCAGGACACUUGAUCUGCAACAAGCUUUCUUCCUUCGUGUCUCUAUCUCAUUCUUUGUUCCGUCGCUUGCAUUGGCAGCAGCACAUUGCCGCUGGUGACGAUUCGAUCCACAUAUAUAUGUGGCCUUUGACUGGAUGCCCCAUCUUCGUCGUCGUCGUCGUCGUCGAUAGUAUACAUGUAUAUACGCACGUUAUGUCACGUGCGUACCUGCAGCGUGCGGGCAUUCAGCCAAUGGACACAAGGGAGAUGAAGCAAGCACGUCAGUGCAGCAGAGCGGAAAUUCGCCCGGAGUUCCCACUGCUUCCUCCUUGAGAUUUCAUUUGUUGCUGUAUGUGCCGGUUCAUUUUUGUUCUUACUGGCUUGCGGUGGCAGCACCAUAUUUCCUUCCAAACGAUAGUUUACACGCAAGCAAGCUACCACAGUAUGUAUGGUUAGAGAAUCAGGUGAAGACCACAGGUUGAGUUUGGUUUUGGUGUGAAAUCGCUGUCGGAUUGGUGCAGUUCCGUUUUUGAGGCAUGCAGAUUGAUGUGGUGUGGUUUAAUUGACGAGCAGCAGACUAGUGGGUUUGGUGCGGCUUUAGUCUGGAUCUCAGACCAUUAGCAGCCUUACCCGUACUCGAGACACACUGAUGACUAGGCUCAAUCCAUGUCCCGAAUAAAGCGAGCGCGCGAUCGAUCGACAUCGUCCAUGGCGCACUCAUGCAGCCGAUGGAAUGUUGGCCUCAUGCGCCUGCACUUUCACAGCGGAAUUCGUCAUGCUGCUGAACCCCCUGAUUGGGACCUCUCGCCAGAAAUAAUUGAAUUCAUUCAGAGUAUACCAUUCAUUCACAGGCACCGAACAGCAUGAUCCGUGUUAGACUUUGAUUUGAAUCCCUUCGUCACCGACGACAGGACGUCCCACUCAUUGUUCUCCUGGACUACUACAAUGCAUUUUACAGCAAGGAGACAGUGCCAGCUCGGCCUAACACAAAGGUGAUGAUGUAACAUCCACAUCCCUGGGCUGGUACUACUAGGAUGCUGCCGUCCUUCCAUUUUAACAGAAACAACUUGAAAAAACAACCAAGCGACUAAUUCGUAACUUUAUACGGCAGUAACUCUAAGCUCUCCAUUCUGUCUGUCAGCAGCGCAUCUCGGUGUGCGAGAUAGUAGGCUAGACAUUACGAACCGACAGUGUGCACCUUGAUGCUGAUAUGUUACGCAUUGCUUGCGUGGUCAGGAUACCGACAACCUGCUGAAGGUGACCAACUUUAGUCACGGUGCCCAUGAGACCAGCAAUGGGCAGCAAAAUUGGACAAUUAUUUCGCAGAAAGUAAAUUUUGGGCUAGACACUAGGGCCAUCAGGAGAAGUGUGCAAGCGAUCACCUGCAGCUGCCUCAGCGGAACUCGUCAUGGAAAUAGUCGUCGUCAUCACUAAGGUACACACUGCCAUAAAAUACAUAGGGGUUCUCAAUCAUCUCGUCCAAAGCUAGCCUCCCGUCAUGAUCCUUGUCUGCCUGCAUUUUUUGAUAAAAGCAACCACACAAGUCAUCUCCAAAGGGAAAAGGCCCGUCAUAUGAUGAAUGGUCAUAAAAGGAAGUCGAUGAUGCAAGACAAUUGCCCUUUUGCUUGACCAUAUUUCAAAGAGAAUAAAACAGCACCACUUACUAAACAGCAGAAACAGAAAAAAAAAAACUGUUGCGAGCUGUGCUCUAUUGCUUCAUGACCAUCAGGUCACUAAUGAAGUAUAAACACAAUAUAGUGUACUACAUUCAGUGAUCCAUUAGUUUGGGGUUUUCUAUACUCAAAGUUCAUUUAACCCCGAAGUCCUUUUGGAUAAAUAGGCUGAAAAAGCACCAAUACAAAACCAAUUGGACAUUUAUUAGACUACAUACACAUUAUACAGCUGUUACACAGUAAUGCCUUCUCUCGAAUUUUGUAGGGUAUACAAUCUUUCCUUCUAUGGCUCUACCUUACUGAAAUUUGACAAUGGUGUACGGAUUAUAAUACUUUAGCUAUAGUCCCAAAAAGAUUAAAUCAAAUCCACAUCGCACCGACAGAAACCAUAUACAAUUUCCAGACAUCUGCAAUUUCUCUAUGCAUAACAUUGAGUUACUCAACUUAGAAUGGAACCAGAAAGAAAUGAUUUUGCAACUAUGUGCAUAAUGAAUAGCCAAUAUCUACUUAGUGUCUUCCUGUUUGACAAUGCAAACUUAACACAAUUUAUAUUAAUGACAUUAUUUGCAUGCUAUAUUGGGUUUUGGCCAUACUGGCUCAGGAUAAGGUGUUAAACGGGUUAGCAAUUAUAAGGUCAUCCACUGUUUUGUAUGGAAGGUAAAAUUAGUUAGGACCAAACUGAUAUGAAAAGUUUGGCUAUAUGUGCAGACAUGAUUGAAAUAAUUUCUGAACUCAUAUGAGAAGGCAGCUCAUAUUCAUACCUGAUGGUAAGUAGUUUCAGCAACUCCUAAUUCCAAUGGUGCAAAGAAGAAACUUGCAAAGUAAAAACUAAACAAACAAUUGCCAUGUGGUUGUGCACAUAACUAUGAUCACAGACACUCAAAUACGCCUAGAACUAGGAAAACAGAAUAAUAAAAAGAGUCAAUGGGAAAGAAAUACGAAUCAAACCUCUGAAAUAGCAUGGAUGGCUUGCUGUCUAGCAUAAUAGCGUUCAGAAAGAUAGAGCUUAUCAAGAACAGGUUCUAGUUCCUGCUCCGAAAUAAACCUACAUAAAAAGGAUUAUCUCAAAUGAAUAAUGGUAAAAGAUUAUAUACCAAAUUCUGUGAGAAACAUCAUAAAAGAACUUUAGCUAGAGGUUCAUUUGCAUACCCAUCAUUAUCUUUGUCAAGUUUGGAGAACCGAUCCUUUGCAACUGUGAUGUUCCCAAUAUGGGAAAUAUCUGCAUUCUCAUCAUCAUAACCAUGUAUAUGGUCAUGUAGUCCAUUAAAGUAUUCAUCAAAGUUUAGCUUUCCAUCACCAUCUUUGUCCCUCUGCCUGGAUAUGGCAUAAUGAGUAAGAAAUUUCAAACACAAUCUCAAGGAAACUGUAACUGUGCUCUAACAGCAUAUGCAAACAGUUAAAGAAUAUUCACCUUCUGAAACUCAUAUAUAGUGACAAAAAAGGAAACAAUUUUCCAGUUUCCACAGACAUGACAGACAAUAUCUGUGGACUGUGGUGAUUCAAAAUCAACAGGUCCCACUCAGGGUUGCUAGUUACUUCCUUUACUACGAGCGAUUUAUAUAAGCCUCAAAAGGUGUCCCUCGUACUUAAGUGUUUAGUUUAGUCCGUCAUUGCCAUGGGAUCAACAUAGAGAUGUUCGGUGUGUAUUUUACAAAGUUUUAGUACAUGUAAUUUUUAGAUUUUGGAACUUAGGAGGUGAAUAUAAAACCUUUAGUUGUUAAGACAUGUAGAACAAACAUAGUUGCCAAAACUAUAAAGCCAACAUGACUUAUCGUCUAUACGCCGAAUACUGCCCAACAUAACCCUAGCCCAGGCCCAGCCCAGCACAAGCUAAAACACCCUGACUGGAACUCUACCUACCAAAAUCCAAUCAUAUAAAUGGUGUGAAUAGCAUCGGUGGCUACUGUAAUAUGAUGAUGUGGCACAAUUGGCUUCUUUUACAUUUAACUUAAAAAAAGUAAGAUGUUGUCAACCUCUAAAGAGGUAGGGUAGGGUUACUCUUGUUUCAGUAACAAAAAAAAUGCAUUGGUGUCAGAUGCAGAAAUUACUGUCCACACACUUCAUACACAUGUGAACAUCAAUUUCCAACAUCGGACAACCAAAUGAAGCUAACAAACUUGCCUCACGAGGUACAAUUAGACACUGCAUGUAACAUAGGCAACGUGACAAGAAAAGGAGAGAACUCAAGGAAAGGAACAAAUGCUAUCAGGAUUUCAUAAAACAUAACCAGGAUUAGACAAUUUUGUUGAUGUUAUUGAUGGGCUCUCCCAUCAGUUAACCAAAUAUUCCCCUUAUAAUUUUAAAGUGACACACCAUCUUAAGUACAUAUAAAUCAUCUAUGCAAAUGACCAUAGUAUUUGCACCUUAUUUUGUGCUAAAGUAGGUGGAAUCUAUCAAGAAAUCUGGUUACCAGAAAGGAAUUACAGCUUUUCACUAUUAGCUGUGGAAUUAUCACACUGACCCUAAUAUCUAAUAUACAAAAUGGUUCGCUAGCUAAAGUCUCUUCCUGGCAACAGCAUGAAAAUGCAGUUAUAGUGCUCACUGACAAGACAAACUUCAUAAAUACACUAGUUACUGGCUAGAGGAUAUGAACAGACCUCAGGACCCAAACGCAAAACACUGAUUUAAAAAUUGAGUUUAUGUGCCCUUUUACAAAUAAACCCAAUAUUAAAGCAUUCCGCGUCCUUUAAAUGUAUGCUACUAAAGUUAAUCUAAACAUAUAGUACUAUGACGGGAAAAGGUCAUCAGGUUGAUGAAGCACGCACCUUAUUUCUUGUUUGGAGAGCAAAUUGAUGAUUUUGGGAUUAUCCGAAUCACUUGGGUUAAGGAAACUGAAGUGGCAGCAAGACAAUUGGAAAGGCAAACAUUAGCAAAUAGUCAACCACAGGUCUAUGGCAAAAGUUGAAUGAAUCCUUACUCAUUAAACUCAGAUUUAUCAAGGAAACCAUCGCCGUUUGCAUCUGAAGCGUUGAAGUGCUCCUCCUUCCACCAUGGGAACCCCAGCAUAUUACCGUCUCCUGCAUAAAUGAACCAACCAAUGAACUCCUAAGAUGCUAACCCACAUUGAUGCCAAGAAUUGUCCCUAUAAAUUGCUGCAUUCAUGGCUUGAUGCACAGAUAAUUGGAGAUAAUUUUUGGCAAUGUUACCAUGGGACUCUUGGCGCAGCGUGUUGAAGGUCGCGAAGGAGACGAUCCCGUUGCCUUUCUUGUCGUAGAGCUCCAUCUCCCUGGCGGAGCGGUGGUGCUGGUCGGCCCUAGCCUGCUCGAGGUUCCAUCUGGUGAGCUCGUCGAGGGAUACGAAGCCGUCCGUCGGGGACACGUCGAUCUUGGGGAAGAGCGCGUGGAUGCGGUCGGCGAGGUUGAAACGGUCGUCGUCGUUGAUGAAGUCCUCCUCCUCCUUGAGGAAUUCCUCCCACUCCUUCAUGUGAUCGUCCGGCCCGUCGCCGUCUUCGUCGCCGUGGAGGAGGCGGUAGUGCUCGCGCUCCCACUCCUUGUCGUCCAGCCGGCGCUCCAGCUCGGCAAUGGCCGGGUCGAAGGAAGCCGCGUGGUGGUGGUGGUUCCGCUGCUGCUGCUGAUGCCCCUCGCUCCCACCGGAGGCAGCAGGGGAGGAUGGGAAGCUCUUGGGGUGGAGCUUGAGGCGGCGGUGGAGGCUGCGGCCGUGGGAGUGGGGCUGGAGGCGGGGGGAGUAGGAGGUGAGGAGAAACAGCAGGAUGAAGGCGCACGCUACGUAGAGGAGGAGCACGGUGACCGGAGACUUCCGCCCCGCCGCGGCCGUUGCCGCCGCCGGCGCCAUCGCCGGAGCAGGAGAUCGGGCGACGGGUGGAGUGAGAGGCGAGUUUGCGGGUCGGAGAUUUGGACCCGUUUAACUUAAGCAACUGCAACUCGCAACCCGCUUGGCGGUGACAUGGAAAGCACCGAUUGUGCCAAUCAGCGUUUGACACGUGGCUCGCAGAACUUUGACGCGUCCCUUGUUUGGCAUACGAAGUCACGGAGAUGAUUAGCCUCUCACGAAAUCACAAAACCCAUGAUAGGCAAAUAAUCCCAGAACUCUUUGCAGGUGACACAAAGUAUUCAGGAUAGCAGAUAACACAGGUGACAAGCCCUCAACACAUUAUCUGAAUAAAAUGCAGCACCAUUCAUUGUGGCACUGCACUAGAGUGGUAUUGUGCCGAGAUACAGAGGGUUACUAUGUUGAGUACUUCAAAUAUGGCCCUUCUGGUACAAAACAAGGCUGCAAAAAGUAGCACCCGGCUCAGCUAGUUCCAGAAUCCAGAUUGUAUGAUGAUCUAAAGGCUGUUCAUCUGAUUCGGAGAAGCUGAUCGAGGUGCGCUCGGCGACCCAAAUUAUGUCUUCAGAGGAGCUUUCUUCACCCGGUCAGAUAUCCGAUCUGGAGCAUUCGUGUGGGACUUGAACCGGCCUCGCCCACCCUCCUCCUUUUCCUGAAAGUUGUUCAUAGGUUUAGCACCUUUGCAGCUAUUGGUUGUAUGGUCGGCAUACACAACCAUUGAAAGCCAAAAAAGAAAAAGAAAAAAAAUGGUGUGUAAACUGCAUAUGCUUCCAGAUGUGACCAACUCAGCCAAAGGCAGAUCAUAACCUUCUUCUUUACUAUCUGGACGACAUCCUCGUCUUGAAGGCCAUGGCUGAGCCCACAAUGCUGUGGAUAGUGCCUUGCACUGGUUCCCCAUACAAGCACAUAUUUCACAUCUUUGAGCAAGCUUCUAUGGAUAUGAUUGCAGAAGUCUUCAACUGUGCAUCCACCUCUAUCCUGAUGGCACAAAAAAGGCUGUCAGACAAAUUGUUCCCCCCGGCUCCGUGGAACAGCAACAGGUGAAAAAAAGCAUAGUGGGGCAGAGAACGUACAGUAGAAAGAACAACUGGAUCCGUGAAAUCAGGUUGCUGGCCCUGUGGCUUGGUGUACACCCUCACUAGACCCAUCUCCUCCCACAUUCUUGCCAGUAGCCUGUCCAAGUUCAGCUGUACAGAACAAUUUUUUUCAGUAACAUGAAGAUAAAACGAUAAGACAACAAGAUCAACAGAGCAUUUUACAAAACUCAAUAUUACAGUGCGCACUGCCAUUUAAAGAUGGUGAUACAGCAGUAUAACUUUAUGUGGAGACAAAUCAAGGAUCGUAAGAAAAAUUGAUAAAGAUGCAGGUGACAGAUAAAACAUGCCUUCAAGUUGCAGCUGAUCACUAGUGAAUUUGGUUGCCGAGCAAGAUUAUCCACAUCAUCAAUACCAACAACAUCAAUCUUGUUAUAUACAUAAACACACUUAAUGUACUUUCGAUUUCCUUCAAUGACAUCGAUGAGAUCAUCCACAGUAGCAUCUUCGCGGAAUAACACCUAAAAUAAACAGAAUAGUUGAGCCCACUGCAAAGACAUGCACAUGCGCACACCCAAGCAAGUGCAUCCACAUACCUCAGCAUUGUGAAUUUUGUACUCGUGCAAAAUCUGAUAGCAGAGCUUCUCAUCAAUAUGAGUCAAAGGUGCUGUGGUGUUGAAAGAAAUCCCACCAGUCUUCUUCCUUUUGAAGUAUAUCUAUUUGUACAAAAGGACAUAAUUAAUCGAUCAGGAUGGAACAUAGAAGGUAUUAAUGCAGAUGUAAAAUGAAAACACUUCAUAAAACAGAAGCAACACAGGAUAGUUGGCCACACAGACUGCAUAUUUAGGUCCCAUCUUACCUAAUUAGGUCAGCGAUGAAACAACUUAUGCAGUUAAAGGUAGAAAUGUUCACUAUGAAGUAUUAAGAGAUUUAUGCCCUUUUAAAGCUGCCCAUAGAAAUGACACACAGUUCUCCAGCAUGUUCGAGAAAAAAAAAGCUGCCCACAGCAAGUCAAACCUUAAGUUACACUCUCCUUCCCAGGAUAUCCAACGGCCAACAAAUUUGGUAUGAAAUUUGCGUAUAGAGUUCAGUGCCCAAUGUAUUAAAAGGAACCGCAGAUACAAAUAGAUGCGACCAAUUCAAUAAAAGACAAAAAAAUAUGAACUAGUGUCUUGUGAAGAUACAACACUGGUUAUAUACCACUGAUAGAACUUGCAGGACUGCAUCAUGGGCCCCAAGCCCACCCAUAACCAGUUCUUGAUGAUACUUUAUGAGGAAAUAACAUAUGUUCCUGCGGUAGAAAGGGCUAUGUAACAAGAAUGCUAACCUAAGGCAGCUCAAACAUUUGGCUACAUGACAAUUAGGAAUACAGUACUAGCACAGGAAAAUACAAUUAGUUGAUUCAGCUACGGUUCGCUGAAUUGUGUACCUAAUCUGGUCACAUAUACAUGGGAUCAGUUAAAUCACUGCUAUAUUUUUCAGACCCACGCAAUGAAAACCAUCCAAUACAGAUUGUGGAGCACCAUGUCUCCAAGGUGCCAUGGGAAGUGGCAUUCAUCUGUUCCCAACUUCCAGUUGAUGAUUCAGACACUGCCUUGUAUUGUAGGUUAUAAACAGAGAAUGUUAAGCAUCAUGCCCAGGAUGUACAGGAUGUUCUUUUUCUUGGAACCGUAUGAAAAGAAUGCCUUAUUUGAGUGCCUACUAAAGCUUCAGUGUUACAUAUAGUAUCCUUCUCGAUCUUUCUCUACAUCCAUUUCUAUUUCACAUUUUCAAGUAGUACAUACCUGGGGAGGCCUUUUGUUGAGACGGAGCCCAACGGCUUCCAGUUCUCUUGUUAAUAUUUGGCGAUGUCCUUCACUCUGAAACAAAAUUUAGAACAUAAUAAACAAAUGGAAUCAGGUCCUGUUUUGAUUCUGUGUAAUCAUCUUACAGAUUUAAAACAAAACACUCAAUCACACACCACCAUUUUGGCAUGUAAUCGUCCACCCUUGAUCUAAUUACAGAUUUGAAACAAAAAACACCUCCAGUAAGAUUUCGCUUGGACUUUCAAGCAACUAUAUAGAAAGGUUCCACAAAGAUUUCAUAAGAACUUUCAAGUAACCACAUUGCUUCAGAAAGGCAGUGUGUAGAUGUCUCUAUUCAAGAAGUUAGCAAUGUUUUUCACCAUAUAUACAGUCCUAAAUAAUACAGAUAGAUUCAAAUCUAAAAAACUAGCUAAGUAAUAAUGCAGGCUGACUGCUUUCAAUGUAGAAAUAAGGAUUAGUAUGCAAACUUACAACGAAGAGUGCCUCCUAUGCCACGGAACCUUAGUGUUUCCCCAAUUUACCACUGAAAUUUUGCUCUUUCUACAGUGUCUACUUUAGUUUUCCCUGCCCCUUCUCGCCAUUAAAGUUUGAGGAAUGUUAACAAAAGGGCAAAACAACCACCAUAGCCCUGUCUAGCCAAGUCCCAUGGUGGAGACGGGAGACCUGCCUGACAUUGAUUUUCCUAGGCCCUAUCUUUGUUGUGAUCACCCAAUUUCACUCUAAUUUUUUUAUCCUUUUAGGACCUUUCCUAUGUCUCUUCAUUUUCCCUUUUUAAACCUUUCUUUUUAUUCUUUUUUUUAUUUUCUCUCUGUUUAUUUUUUGUUGAAUAAAUUAGAAAUACUCCAACAAGGCCAUUCAGUAAUAUGAAAUGUAUUUGCUAUGUAAGCUGGUGGACAAACUUGACUUCGGAAGUAGCUAAGGUCUUCAUACUCAAAAGGAUUCUGCUAGGAACAUGUGCGAUUUGGGCUAUUGUCAGGAACCAUGUCAAAUUAUGGGGACUGCAGCAUGCGUGAUUUCUUUAGUCAGGAACUAUAUCAAAUUAUGGGGACUGAAAUUUUCAAUCCAUCCAUGAGAAACACGCUACCCAACAGACUUGAACAUCUGCUCCAUCUCUUCUCUCCUAACGUAAAAUCUUAACUAUGCUUCAAACUUAGGUGUUCUAAAGAAAGAGUAAAGGGAAUGCAAAAGCAAUGUAGGCAUAUAGCAAAGAAUGUUCAGUUAACCAAUAACCUUUGAUGCAUCCAGGACCAUCAGUACAAGGUCUGAUGACUUCGCAACAGCAAUAACCUGAAAAUUGAAACAAUAUAUAGAAAAUAAAAUAAAUGAUUUGUGGGUAGAGGAAGUCAGCAUCCAUAAGAAUAAUUAACUAUUAGCAGCAAUUACCUGCCUACCACGCCCCUUGCCUUCAGAGGCUCCUUCAAUGAUACCGGGAAGAUCAAGAAGCUGGAUUUUGGUAUCAUUGUAGUGAAUAAUUCCAGGAAUGCAGGUGAGGGUUGUGAACUCAUAUGAUGCAGCUUCAGAAUGUGUCCCGGUCAACAUAGUUAAAAGGGUUGACUUUCCAACACUGCAAGAUAUAUAUGCAGUCAAAAUACAUAAGACAUCUUGUUAUUAUAAUCUGAGCGGUUGACUAAAUUGACCAUUUUUUGCUUUGCAUUACCAAAAAGACAAAAAGAAUCAAAUUUCAUCUUUUUACUGAAACAAAACAAAUUUCAGCUUAUGUUAGUAAGACUACAUGAAAAAGAACAUACAGUAAUAUUAAGCAAUAGAAAGUAUGACAUAAAGUACAAAUUGGAUCAGUUCAUCACAUAUUCACAUAUCUCAUUUCUAUAUACAAGGUAAUAGCUAUGAGUGUUAGUUUCAGAGACAUACAUGCCUUGAAAGUACAAGGCAGCAGAUGAAUGCCAAAUACAUAGUACUCCAAUCGACUACAACAGAGCCCACAUGCCACAGAUCCAAUUGUAGAAACUGAGGAGGAUUGAGAUACAAAACUUUACAGUACUCGAGUCAUAGGCAAAAGAUAGUAGACCUGGGAAAUCCAAUAAGCGCAACACGACCAUGCCCGAACUUUGUGACUUCAAAUCCAUCUCCUCCUCCACUGGAACCCUGUAUGACCAAAAUGAGAAGUCAGGUGCGACAAAGCAAAUGAAAGGAACUCCCAUGUAAAUACUACUUAGCCUUUUUGAUACUAUAUUACUCCCUCAGUCCCAAAUUUCUAUUCGUUUUGGCUUUUCUAGGUACAUAGCUUUUGAUACGCAUCUAGAUAUAUACUAUGUCUAGAUACCUAGCAAAAGUUAUGUAUCUAGAAAAGCCAAAACGAAUAGUAAUUUGCGAUGGAGGGAGUACCACUUAGAAAGCCUGAAGGAAUGAAGGAACAUCAGCAUAGCUUACUUGAUGAUCAUUUUUGUUGCCCAAAUUACAAUGCAAAACUAUUAUAAACAAAAAUUCAAGAUGCUGAUAUUGUUUCCCAAUCCAUCGAUACCUUUGGAGGCUCCAAUAGUUGUGUCCUCAACUUUGCUAACUUUGCCUUCAGUUGUCCAAGAUGAUAUUCUGCGUGGAAAACAAAGAAAAAAUAAUAUUAACAGAUACAAUAUGCAAGACCAACUCCACACAAGAUUACCAACUAUAAUACAAUGCUGCAAAUUAGGGGGAAAUGAAGCAAACAAGAUAUACUUAAUCAAUUAAGUACAGACAUUUAUGCCAAGUUUAUUUAGGAAAAAAAUGACAGUAGUAUGAUCAAGAGUUGUGACCUACAUAUUAGUGCACAUACAGGAUAUUAUUUGACUAUACUUCCUCAUUGCAACAUAUACAAUGAUACCCUUGGUUGAUUUGAUUUAAACAGAAAUGUAAUAAAACAAAAGGAACGUUGUUCAAUCCAGUAGUCAUUAAUUAUACAUGUCUACAGUGAAUGCCCAAAUGAUACAGCUUGUUGCCAUUAACCAAGACAUCUAUGGCACAGAACAGCAAUAUAAUCAGAGAUUGUAUACACAAACAUGCUGAACGGCAAUUUCAUGAUCAGAUACGUGUAACAGUGAUAUGUGGCAAAACAGUUUCAUUCAAAAGGAAUGAAAAUAAAAGACAGUGAGCACACAAAGAUGAGCAUGAAUUGCAUAAUUGUAAUGGUGGAAGAAGUGAAGACAGCAAACCUGUUGCUUUGUUUUUCUGCGUCCGAGCCAUCUCGGCCUCAAUCUCCUUGAUCCUCUCAAGGAUACCCAUCUUCUACACAACUUGCUCUGGGGCCUGGGGGCAGAGGUAAUUUCUGCCAAGUAAUAAAGAAAAGAACCUUGGUAAGCAGGGACGGACCCAGUUUUGGACAUGGGUGAACACUUGUACACCUGAUAGUUGCUUAAAAAAAUUCGAAGUUUAGAAGUAAAUGGUCAGAUCCAAAUCUAUAGCAUACAUCAGGGUUUGGGGGUUCAAUUUCGCACCGCAGGAAGGGAAGGGAAUUGGCGGGCAUACCUGUCGGAUGUUCGUCGCCGGCGCUCGAUGAAGGCCCAGGUGGUCGCCCGACGAAAGACCUGGGCCAAGCAGGGGUGGCUGCUCGCCUUGUCGUCGCCGCUAGGAAAUAAGGCCAAGAGGGUGGAGCGGAAAAGGAAGAGGAAAGUAGCCGGGAAACGAGGAUGACGAUGGGGGAAGAGUGGCUAGCCGGCGUGCUUCGGAGGAGGAACUGGAGGCAGGUCCGGCGGCGCUGGCGGAGGAAGGGGCCGACGAACUGGAAGAUUCUUCGAGGUGUGCGCCCUUCGUAUCAGUGGCGAUAGGUCGGGCCUGUUCGCUACACAUUUUUGGGCCGGCUGCAGCUGUGACUGUUACAGCCCUCGGCUGUGGGCCAAACAGCUGAAGGAGCUUUUUUUUUCUUCAAACGUUUGGCUUCGCCGAUUUGAACACUGCCAAUAAUGAAUUAGCCGAUUUGCCGAUCAUAACACCUGCAACCGCCACUAUGCUGUUUCCAAUCCAUUUUAAUUCUCUCUCCCAUAUAUACCCACGUGAAAUGACAAUCUUACCUCUUAUACAAACUGUUACCUGUAGAUCCCUGGGAACUUUUAGGGAUUUAUUUCCCUGUCAAAUUUUGUUUAAAUCGGUCAAGUAAAGAGCAUUUGAAAAAAUGUAGGUAAUGGUUGCAGUUUGCUGUUACUCUGCACAUUCCUUGUUAACCUGAUCGAUUUGCAAAGUUCAUCCAGGAAUUUUGAUACGGAAGCUAGCAGCCACCAGCCAGUUUCUGUGGCUUAAUCUAUGCACUAGUGCAAGUCGUGGACACUGAACUCUAAUGAUCUGAUAGAUAGUUUGCUUGCUCCUUGCAGAAUAAUUUGCUUGCUCCUUGUCAUAAAUCUGCGAUGUGCAAAAACUACAGCUGUAAUCUUUCCACUGUGUCCAGUCAACAAUGGAAUUUAGUCUUGUAAACAUAGCAGUUAAGCAAAGAGGUAGGGAAAUGUGUUGUGCGCAUCAUCAUUUACCUGUAUUAAUCUGUAUCAUUACUGAAUCAUUAUUUUGUUAAUAAAAAAGUAACUGAUUUAGUACAGAUAGCCUGACUUGGUAAAUAUUUUGGUUUCCAGAUAUUUACCUAGAACCGGUGCUUAAUGGAAUGCUGAUAAUGUCUAAACUUCCUCCAGUGUUCAUGUGAGAGGUUCAUAGUACGUUCCUCUACUUGGAUUAUCUGCUCGGCGCCAUCAUCUCCUGGUAACUUUAUCUUGCUCGUCUGGUGCUAAUAGUCCUUGUAGAUGGCUAGUACUUUUCGUGGAUGCAUAUUAGCUUGGUUGUCUGUUUGAUAUAGAACUAGUUUAAUCCACGGUUGCUCGGUGGAUGAUGUUUGGGCUAGUUUAUUUGUUUAAAUGUAAAUUCGAAUGUGACCCAUUCCUAGUAGGAUCUGGUAGUGAAUAACGUGAGCCUGGUGAACUGAACGUCUACCCAGAAUCACUUAUUCUAAAUCAAUCUUUCAAUUUAUAUUUAAUUGCUUUGAAUUUUUGCUCCUAGUAUUGCCAAGAAUUGGUUAUUUUCCAUCUAGUAGCAUUUAGUACUAUAGCCUCGAAUCUGCAUAUAACUGUAACCGUGCUUCCCUUUUUCUCUUGCAUAAAGUUUCAUAUGUUACCAAUCUCUUCGACAAUUUUUUAUGCCUUGCUGUUAAAUAUGUGCAGAGCCGUGCAGGUAUUUGGCAUGCCCACAUUGUUAGGACAUGUACCUUUAUCAUCAAUAUAUCACUCCUGUGAUUAUGGCAGUAAUGAUUAUGUAUGGAUUGAUACUAUUCUCCUAACUUUUAUGGUCGCAUUAUGAUCAGAUGCAAAAACAUGCUCGCCAAGGUUCUCAGAGCAAGCAUUUCUAGUGCCUCAAGUACAACUAGUUGAUCUGCAAGGACCGAGACUCAUUUCAGCAUUUCUGUGGCGUAGCUUCAACAAUUCAGCAUAACUCUAUAAUUUUAAUAAUUUGUGUCGAUGACACUUGAAGAUUUGGUUGAUAAUCUGCAAGAUUUUUUAUCUUCUUCUUUGAAUCAGGCUUAUUUUAUAUACUGGUUUUCAUUUUUAUAAUUCCUACGAUGAUAGUAACUACUACUGGCUAGCUAACGUUAGUAACAACCUAGCACCUUGCAGCAGAUAGUGGGGAAUCGUCUACAACUUGUUUGAUUACAUACUAGCUAGCUAAUAGGUUCUUAUUGGAUUCUAACCAUAGUUAGCUAACAGUUUGUAUCUGGAAAGUUUGGGGAAAGCUUAGGGUGGUAUGGUGUCUGGUGAUGGAGGUUUGAACUGAAGUGGAUUAUAUUUGUUUUCUCGUGAGAAUGGGUUGGUGGGGUUAUAGCUUAGGUUACAGCCCAAUUAGCAGGGCUACCAACAAUAUAAUGGUUCAUUCAUUCAUAAUGAGUUCAUAAAUUCAGUCAGCUUCGUUGUAAGGUCCAGGCUGCAACCAUUUAACAUACAUACCAUAAUUUGAAAUAGCAGUCAUCACAUAGUUUAGAUAGCUGAACAAAAUAGCAGAGUCAUCACAUAAUUUAGAUAGUUCAACAAAAUAGAGCACUUUCAUUAUACAAGAGGGUUUUAGUAGCUCUUCCAUGUUCCUUUUCCUCGUCUUUGAAGUAAUCUUUUUAGUAGCAGUCUUGCUAGCAGUCUUAACUGAAGCUAUUGGUGUUCUUGGAGUAGCAGGAGGUGCUGCAGUGCUCUGAUUGGAAGUGCCUUCUCCCCUAAGCAUCGCUAGACGCCUGCAUAUGAAAAUAAAAACAGAUUAGGUAAAGUCGCAAACAAUGAUACAAAGCAAUUUUAGCACAAGGAGCAUCAUUACCUUCUUGUGAGUGUCCCAGGACUAUCUUCUAAUAGUGGACCCUUUGUAUUGUUAGACUUCGCAGGUGUAGAAUCAGUUCUCAACUGCUUUGUUUUAUUUUUCCUAGGCUUCCUCAGCUUCUUUUUUUGCCAUUUAGUGGACAUUUGCAGCUAGCCUAUCUAUAGCCCUUAUUUCCACAUCUUCGGCAUGUCAUUGGGCCUCUAAUCAUUAUCUUCUCCUUCCCUUUUCUAUGUUUUUCUCUUCCUCAUUAUCCUUUCCUGCUACCCCCCUCCAUUCUUUCGCUGUCUUCCUACUCCCCUUUUCCCAAGAGGUGCCCCUAAGACAUAGCCAAGGUUAAGCUUAGGCCACUAACUUCUGUCAGUCAUUGGUUCAAUCACUCCUUGACCCUCCUUGAUAUGCUGCUAUAAACCUUUGAACCGAGAAGAACUCAUGAACAUAAUCAUUGAAUGGGACUUACUUUUGUGUCGUUAGAAAAGUCAAGGAAUGUUCACAUGGUUUACCUGUGUGUUGCCACUCCUCACAAGUGCAUGUUCUGUCCAAUAAUUUGACAACAUGCCUCACAUGGUUAUCUCUACUAUUGUCCCAAACUUCUGCAGAAAAUCUAGCAGAACUGACAACUCUCAGGUGUCCUAAUCCUCUAGUCCUUACCCUUAGUUGAAGCCUUACAGUUGGUAAUAACCAUCCAUGAAACCUUUCUCCCAUCCUUCUUCUCUUAUCCCAUAGUACCAUUAUCAUUUCCCUUAUCUUGUCAGCUAGCUCUGUAAUAGGCAGGUCUUUAUAGUCUUUUAUCCAGUUAUUAAACACCUCAGUAAUAUUCUUUGUUAUGUAAUCACAUUUGAUGGCUGGGUUGAAAGCACACCUCAUCCACUUCAAGUGAUGGUACUGAGCUAGAUUCUUCUCCACUUUAGAAUUUGCAUCCAAAUUUUUUUCAUGUGAUGAUCAAAAGCAGCAGUUCUAUAUGCUCUUGCAGCAGGAUACAUCCUUUCAAAUGUGUCACCAGAAUACUUCCUUAUGAAGUUUUGCAUCAAGUGUCUAAAGAAUUCCCUACGUUCAGCUUGAGGGAAUACUUGCCUAACUGCAUUUUCCAAACCUUUACAAGCAUAUGUACAGAUGGCCAAAGGGGAAGCAUUCCCUAGUGCUUUAUUGAGCUGACUCAUUUACCAAACCCAAUUAUCUUCGAUUUCGACGACUUCACCUUUUGCCAGCCGUCGAUGCUCGGCCCAAGCUGCACCUCGUAAUGGUGGACGUCGUACGGAGGCAACCUGGCCGUAGCAUGCAACAGCAGCGCCGGCGCGGCUAGCGACUCCCUUCGGGUCAUCAUGUUGCCUAACCAUCUCGUCGACGGCGGACGAUGCAUAGGCGAGCGCCAUGGCGGGGGCCUCCGGUACAUGGAAUCCAACCGACGGGUGCUCCAGGUGUGGGAUGCGUAGGAUGGAGGCCUUGGCAUGUCAUCCUGGGCGCUGAUGCACAGGGUUGGCGCCGCGGAGCUGAUGGAGCUGAUGCACAAGGAAACCAUAAAAAGGCAUGGAAAAUGUGAUAUGCAGUGAAGUGUGAACAUACGUUACACAACCAAUCGCAGGUAGUAAUCACCAACGAGUCCAGAUUAUUUUGACUGAUCGGUGCUUGACGUGCGUGUAGCAGUGUGGGUGGAGGGUUGUGGGAGGUUUGGCAGCAGCAAUCCUGUUGUACGAGACCCGUACGUCCAUACUAAAUGUUCACUUUUCGAACACUCUAUUCCGCCAAUACUAAUGUUCAUUUUAAUUUUGUCGCUGCUCACGCACGGAUCACUCAUCUUAGGGCGUGAUUGGUUGCCCGCGUCCCACCGUCCGCUGCAUGACCCCGAAGCAUCCCGUGCACUCUCGCGUGUUCGGUUGCUCUCCCGGAACCGAAACGGCGCACCCCCCCGUUCGUUUCCCCCACUCCAUCCCGCAUCGCCCCGUCCGCCCAGAGGGCUCCUUCGCUCGCGAGCCGGGAUGGAGCGAUGCUGGCGGGAAGAUUUGGGCGGAGGGCGGGAGAUGGCGCCGUAUCGGGGCUAAAGGCGCGGGAGGUUACGGUGACCUCCCAUCCUCAGCCCACUUUCUUCGCUCCCCUCCUCCCCGGUGCGCCUUCUCCUCUUCCUCCUCCUGUUCGACCUCGGUUCGUCGGUAGCUCGAGGUACUCCGGCGGCGCCCUGUGCCCCCACCGGUGCUGCGACUGUACAUCUCCCCCUCCUCUUUACGCUGCUUCAUCCCCUCUCCCUCGUUGAUCUGUCGAUUCGUAUUUUUUUCGUUGGUGUCGAUGAACCCUAGGUUAUUGUUCUGUCAGAUCCGUGCGCUCCUUUUGUGGAUUUAAGGUUGUGAUGAACCCUAGGUACUUUUCCGAUGCAGAUCUAUGGUUCUCACAUGUGUAGAGGUCGAUCUGAUUUUUUUUUGGUUCUUGUACCAUCCUAUAUGUGGGUCGGGGUCCUCCGGCGGCAACCUGUGCCUCCGCCGGUCCUGCGACGGUACAUCUUGGUUGGUUUUCAUGAACCCUAGGUUGUUUGUGCAUCUGCAUUUAUGGUUUUCAUGAACCCUAUGUUCGUUCUUAUGCGGACUAUGGUUGUCAUGUAUAUUUGUCGAUCUGAUUUCUUGUGUCCUUAAAUCAUGCCUUACUGCUUUGCAAGCAAUCACGCCCUACUGAGCUGAGCAAAGUGCCUAGGUCGAUGAUGAUUCCUUGCCGCCGGAGGAGCACCUUCGGGUGUGGCAGCCGCGUCUAGGAUAAAAUGUAGUUGAGAAUGUUUGCUUGCUUAACAACAUGACCCCAAGUUCUUGUAUACUGAGCUCUAAUGAACACUGCAUUGUAUUCUUAGACAUGGACUUGCAAGGUAGGCGCCGAGCUGCGGCUGCUCUUGUUGCUGCUGUUGCUGCAUGAUUUUUCUUGUGGUUUAGAAGGAGAAGUGAGGAUGCUCGAUCUAUUACCUAUGGUCCCAUGGCAGAGAGGGACAGAGAGAGGAAUAGCAACCUCAGAUUCAUUUAUGAAUCUGAUGAUGUGCAUUGUGUCAACCUGCUAAGGAUGAGAAGGGCACCUUUUUUUCAACUGUGUGACCUGUUUCGGUCUAGAGAGUUGGUUGUGGAUAGCAUCCAUGCCACUGUUGAAGAACAGGUAGCAAUGUUCUUGCAUGUAGUGGGACACAACCAAAGGUUCAGGAUCAUUAACAUGACAUUUAGGAGGUCACCUGAAACUAUCAGUAGGUUCUUUCAUCAAGUCUUGUAUGUAGUUGGUGAGUUGAGAAAUGAGUUGAUUGUACCACCAUCCACUAGUGUCCAUCCUAGGAUCCUUGGCAGCAGGAGAUGGAACCCAUAUUUCAAGGUUGGUGGCCCUUUCCUAAUUGCAAACCAAUUGACCUUACCCAUAUGGUAGCAACCUGUUAAUAUGGCUUUUUAUUUUUAGGAUUGCAUAGGAGCAAUUGAUGGGACACAUGUCUUAGCUAGAGUGCCUUUGAAGAUGCAAGGUUCCUUUAGAGGCAGGAAGCACACCAUCACUCAGAAUGUACUGGCAGCAGUGGACUUUGAUCUAAGGUUCACAUAUGUGCUUGCUGGUUGGGAGGGAUCUGCACAUGAUGCUCUGAUUUUAUCAGAUGCUCUUGAAAGGGCAGAUGGUCUUACAGUCCCACAAGGUACCAUAACUAACAUACACACAUGCCAAUAAUACUUGCACACACUAAACUGAUAAACCAUCUCCAUUUGUUACAUUGUCUAGGGAAAUUCUAUCUUGUGGAUGCUGGAUAUGCAGCCAGGCCUGGGUUCCUGCCGCCAUAUCGUGGUACAAGGUACCACUUGAGGGAGUUUGGUUCAAAUAGGCCACAAAAUCAAAGAGAGUUGUUUAACCUGAGGCAUUCUUCUCUUAGGGUGACAGUAGAGAGGGCCUUUGGUGCUCUAAAGAAUAGAUUCAGAAUCCUUGAUAACAAGCCUUUCCAUCCUUACAAAACCCAAGUUAAGUUGGUUCUUGCCUGUUGUAUUCUGCACAAUUGGAUACUUAGGCAUGGACAAGAAGAACAUGUUCCCACUGAAGCUGCUUGGACUCCUAACUCCACUGAUACCCCCCCUGAUAGCCCCCCUGAGCCAGAACAUAGUCCUGAUAAUGGAACCUGGGCACAGCAAAGGGAUACAUGGGCUGCACAAAUGUGGCAGAAUAGGGGAUCUUCUAGAGUUUAAUUGCACUUAAGUACUUGGGGUCAUGUGCUGUUAAGUAGCAUUGAUGAAUUUGUAAUAUGGUCUGAGACCUUGGUACUUUGCUAUGAUGUGUAACUGCAAUCAUGAACAAUACAACUUGGUAUGAUAUUUGCAUGCAGUACUUACUUUCCUGUUUGAUUUCUAAGUGCUUUGGUGUUUCUUUUUGUGAUGGUAUGAUGGUUAGGACAUGGCUGUGAUGGGUGAGGAUGUGGUUGGUGUUGUCAAUGAGGCAGGGGCCGAGGGUGGGGUGGCUGCUGUGGAGGAAGGGAACCCAGCAGCCCCUCCACCCAAUGGAGCCCAGCCUGGGGGGCCAAUGCAAUGGACCAGUGUUCAGUCAGCCUUCAUGCUUAGGAGGUUUCAUGAUCUGGUUGGGCAAGGGGUCAAAACUGACAAAGGCUUCAAGGAAGUGCAUGUUAGGCAAGUUGCUAGGAUGGUUUCUGAUUUUGCUGAAGUCAAUAUUACCACCAACCAAAUUUAUAACCACCUGCGCAAGUAGAGGCAGAGGUGGGUUAAGAUUGCUAGGCUCAAGGAUCUCAGUGGUGCUCUCUGUAAUGAGGACCAUCAUAUGAUAGUCCUUGAGGAGGAGCAUCUGAUAGGGCACACUAAGGUUAGGCCACAGCUUAAAUAUAUCUCACUGUUAUGGUUAAUAGUUACCCUUUUCUCUAACUGUUGCACAACCUUUUUGCCCAACUAGGAUCAUCCUGCUGAUGCCAAGUUCUUGAACACCCCAAUUGAGAACUAUGUCCAAAUGGAGGCCAUUUUUGGGUCUAGUCAGGCUACUGGUAGGUUUGCAAUGGGUUCCAAUGAACCUUUAGGUGUACCAACUGACCUUGGCCACCUUGAGGGGGGAUGUUAGAACAGAGACAAUUAAUUUAGAUGGGAAUGAGGGUGAUUCUGGUAAGCAAAAUGUAGGCUCCAAUGGGCUGGACACCUCUAAGAGUUCUGAUGAUAAGGAAGGAAGAGGUGGUAAAAGGAGGAAGUUGGGUGAGGAAGAAUACCAGCUGAUGCAUGGUAUGACUGUUGCUGUUGCCUCUGUUGCAGAUGCCCUGAAAGCUCCUCAGCACAAUGAGGUCCAUGCAGAUCUUUAUGGUUGUGUCAUGUCCUGUCCUGGGUACUCACAGGAGGCCUUGAUGUUUGCACUUGUGUACUUGCUGAAGAACAAAGCAGAAGGCCUAUGCUUUGUUCAGAUGAGUGAAGCCCAUAGGAUCCUUUGGCUUAGGACCUACCUGAGCCAAUCUAACUUCCUCUAGGUGGUUAAGGACUAUUAUAUGAUAUUUUGCUUGCCUAUGCUACAGUCUGACAUUUUGGGUUAGCACUAACCACUAAUGGUGAGGGUAGAGACACCAUUUGGAAUAUUUCCAAGGCUGCAAAUAUUUUUGUAUAGCAUAGGCCACAUGGUUCCAUCUGGUAGAGGUGGUUGGGAGGGAUCUGUUGGGUGUGUAAACAUGAACACCUGCACCUGGUAAAUGUGAUGGAUGCCAUGUCUUUGUUCUGGUAAAUUGAGCUUUCCUGGUGGUUCAUGUGCUGGUGAUGGCAAUUUUCUUUCAUCUUGGAUAGAUGUUCUGAAUUGAUGGAUGCAUAUGUUUGGUUCAAAUGAUUGAACCUGUGCCUAUGAUGAUAAACUUAUUUGCCCAAUUCAAAGUAGAUGGGUACCAUCGGAUGACCUUGAGCUUGUGAGUGACUAUGACAUUGAUCUUGUUCUUAAGACCUGCUACUGCUUUUGUGCUACCUGGUAAGUCCAUCUUCUUUUCAUCUUUCCUAUAUGUUGGUUGCUUCCUUCUGCCUUGAUGGUUACUUAUGUUAUUUAAGGUACGAAAAUAUGCCUAUGAUGAUAAACUUAUUUGCCCAAUUCAAAGUAUAUGGGUAGCAUCAGAUGACCUUGAGCUUGUGAGGGACUAUGACAUUGAUCUUGGUGUUCUUGUUGCCAACUAGUACUGCAUGUUCCUUACUUAUGGUUGUGCUGUUGCUGAGCUAUUGACCAUGUUGUGCUGCCACUGUUAUUUCUGUUGACAUUGAUGUUGUUCCUGUUGCCAUUGUGCUACUGUUUUUGGUCUUAUUUUGCUCUUGUGUCACUGAUGCUCCAAGCUUAAGGUCAAGGGAAGAUGAAAAUAACAUCUGAGGCCAAUUUUUUUGUAACUUAGCAUAUCAGACUUCCUAUUAUCAUACAUAUACCUUUGCAAAUUGGAUAAUAUGCAAAUUGGGUUACCUAUCUUGGUUACCCAACAUUUUUGUUGUUGUUGAAUCUAUCACUGCUCUUUCUGUUGGCAGUGUUGUUGAUCCUGUUACCUCUGUUGCAAAUUGGGUAACCUAUCAUGCUUAUGGCACAUUAUUUUUACUGUCCACCUCCCUGGUACUACUUGUUCUUUUUUUCUGGUUGUGCUGUUGAUGAUAAACUUAUUUGCCCGAUGGGUACCAUCACAUGACCUUGAGCUUGUGAGUGACUAUGCCAUUGUUCUUGUUCUUAAGACCUGCUACUGCUUUUGUGCUACCUGGUAAGUCCAUCUUUCUUUCAUCUUUCCUAUAUAUUGGUUGCUUCCUUCUACCUUGAUGGUUACUUAUGUUAUUUAAGGUACGAAAAUAUGCCUAUGAUGAUUGGAAUAUUUGCCUAAUUCAAAGUAUAUGGGUAGCAUCAGAUGACCUUGAGCUUGUGAGGGACUAUGACAUUGAUCUUGUUGUUCUUGUUGCCAACUAGUACUGCAUGUUCCUUACUUAUGGUUGUGCUGUUGCUGAGCUAUUGUCCAUGUUGUGCUGCCACUGUUAUUUCUGUUGACAUUGAUGUUGUUCCUGUUGCCAUUGUGCUACUGUUUUUUGUCUUAUUUUGCUCUUGUGUCACUGAUGCUCCAAGCUCAAGGUCAAGGGAAGAUGAAAAUAACAUCUGAGGCCAAUUUUUUUGUAACUUAGCAUAUCAGACUUGCUAUUACCAUACAUAUACCUUUGCAAAUUGGAUAAUAUGCAAAUUGGGUAACCUAUCUUGGUUACCCAACAUUUUUGUUGUUGUUGAACCUAUCCCUUGGUACUGCUUCUUUUUGGUUCUGUUGUUGCUCAGAUGUUGUCCUGGUAGUUGCUCUUUCUGUUGGCAGUCCUGUUGUUUCUAUUGCCUCUGUUGCAAAUUGGGUAACCUGUCAUGCUUGUGUCAUAUUGUUUUUGUUGUCGACCUCCUUGGUACUGCUUGUUCCUUUUUUUCUGGUUGUGCUGUUGUCAUACUUGUCAUUCUAUUGCCAAUGACCUGUUGUUUCUGUUGCCAUUGUCAUACUGUUUGUGGUCUGCUAUUGAUCUAGUGUCACUGAUGCUCCAAGCCCAAGGUUAAGAGAAGAUGCAAAUAAAAUCUGAGGCCAAUAGUUACUAUAUCCACCUUUUCUUUUAUCAUUCAUCUACAUUUGCAAUUGAAUCAAGUUUCAUUUCCUUUAUAAGGCACAAUGUCUUGGUACGUUGUGUACCGUGGUAGGAAGCCUGGAGUGUAUGUAACUUGGGUAACCUGUCAUCAGCAGGUCACCGGUUAUCCAAACUGUUGCUACAAGAGUUUUAGUUCCAAAGAGGAGGCAAUUGCAUCUUUCCUAGAGUGCACUGGUGACAAAGAUGUCAAAGAAGCGACUGACGGUUCAAAAAAGACGACAAAUGAACUUAGUUGGCUCCAUAUCGUAGUUACGCUACAAUUUAUUGUUAUUAUUGUACUCCUACUACUAGUUAAUUAUCUUUGGAAGUAGUCAAGCACGAGAUCAGCCUUUGUAAUAUUAAAACAUCUCAUGUUCAUCAUCUUUGUUGGUAACCUCACCAAUAUGGUGCUAGGGUGCUCCGAUCUCAUCCAAUUCUAUGUACCAAACACAAUCUAGUGACUCCUGUCGUACACGAGAACGAUACAACCAGAACAACCAAACACAACCUCGCAUGAUUCAGACCGACAGCAAAGUGCAACCAAACAAACCCCCCUGUAUCGCUCUAUUCCGUCUCCGACGAUCCAGUACAACCCAUCCGUUCUGGACGGUCCGGUCCUUUGCAACCAAUCACGCCCUUAAUGAAUACACGUACGCAAUCCCUUACAUUAACAUAUACAGUACUAAGUAGUCACUAUCAAAACAUGGUCAAUUUAAUAAAACCAAUUUAUAAUGUUAUAGACAUGUUAAUGUAUUUUUCAAAGAAUUCAUCAAAGUUAGAGAUGUUCAGCUUAAAACAAAUCUAAAUGAACUAAACGAGGGAGUAGCAUGAACCUGACCACCCGGCCGUGAGCUCGUCACCGCUACUCCGUGCUCUGGUAAACUGAUGCUCUAACGAACUGUAAGCUAGGCACAACAGACAUCCUCCGACAUUUUUAAUCCUCCAAAGUCGGAGCAUACCGUCAGACCACACCACCACAAACAACCACAACCAUUUUCCAGGUCAAAUACUCAGUUCCUCCGUGGUAUUCAAAGUUGGAGCACAUUGUCAGAGCACAAACGACCACUGCGAUGUUUCCAAGUCAAAACACUCUUCGUGCUUUGUAUAUGGCAGAGCAUUAUUUCAUACACGGGCAAAAAUUUGAAUAGUUUGGUGUCUAAGGAUAUAUUCUGAUGUCAAAAUUAUAGUUUCCUUCUACUCCUCGAUUCUUGAUGGUUCUCCAACUGCAUCUUCCAUGCGCUGGUACCACUCACCGAUUUGAGUAUUCUCAACCAUAUCCUUUCCUGCUCUCAAGUACCGAAUAGGUCUCAGAACACCGAAGACAGCAAGGUCUGCCAAGUUAGGCUUGGAACCACCUGGAUGAACAUGUAGACAAAACAACCACAGUUACCACUGGUUCAAGAUAAUCAACUUAUUUCCCUGUUCCUAUGCAUUUUUAUUUCUUCUUUGCAAAUGAAUAAAUAGCAUACCCAGGAAAUCUCUUCCAUUCAGGGCUUCAACCCAUGUGUUGGCAGCAUCAUACAAUGAAGCACGCUCAUCAGUUAUAUUGUAUUUCUUCUUUAGCUUCUUUGACACCAUGUACAUGGCAGCAGCACCAGCAUACUUCACAGCAAACCUCUCCGUAAAACUGAAAUUACCUGCAUCACGAAGGUUUGGAGGAAUAAGAGCAUAUUGCUUGUGAAACAAGUAAUGAAAUAAUGCCUCACACAAGACAAGUAAAUUUGAGAAGUCAUCAUCAUCACAUCAGUUGGUACAGUACAAUCUCCUAAUACUUUAAACUCAUUGGAGAGAAAUCAGAGAAGCCAAAUUGCACUCAUUUUUCUGGACAGAAGUACAGGAAACAACCCUUUAUGUAUGAGACAGCAUUGACAGUUCGUAUUAGAAAAUGUGUUUAUUUGCAAAAUGCAUUAGGCAAAAAUUGCAAUCAAGUCAGGGUUCACCAAUGAUCAAGAUGAUACCGUUAUGCUGUUUGUUUGCAGGGUUCACAAGUCACAACAUCAAAUGUUUGUCAGAUAUUGGGUACAGAGCACAAACGCAAAACCAUCCAAGCAAUUUGAUGAAUGUGUUGGUAUUUCUGAGCUGAUAUAAAAUCACCAAACAAAAGGCAAAAACAUCCAAGCAAUGUGAUGUAUAUGCAGAUGUUGAAUCAAAUUAGAAGUGAAAAUUUAAGUGCAAUAUCUCGGCAAAGUUAUGAAGAUUCGCUAGCUGUUAGAUGAAACCACCAAAGAGAAAAUUAUGCUUCAGACACUAGACAUGAUGCUGCCAUGGUUAACACUCUAUCUGAGUAUGCAACUCGCAAAAUGGGUUUCAUAGAUCUAUGUAACUAUUUAUACUUGUGUGCCCUAUGUGACCCUAAAUAACUAGAAGCUUGGGCUUAAAUUUGCACAGGUAUUCAGUGAUAGUGGUCAGUCCUCACCACACCCAAUUCAAUUUUAACCAUGGCAAGAUCUAGAAAAAGUUAAUGGUGUUCUUGUUCUUCAUUUUGGCCAGGGUAUAGAAGAAGGCUUGAAAAUCAUGUGGAGGUCAAAAUGAACAUAAACAAGACACAAUUUUUGAAUAUUCUGUAAUACAUUUCCUGUUCCCUUGCACCCAGUAAGGCACAACCCAGCAGAGGACCCUACUUUCUGAAAGGGACGUAAUAACCUUUUCUGGAGUCUGGACUCUACCCUGUAGGGCAUAGCAUUUUGAAUAUUCCUUUAUGUUCUCACUAGAUGGAGUUUUAACCCCAUAAAGCCACAACUGCAUCUUUCUCAUGACACAACCUGAUUAAGGAAAUGAUAUGUAGAAGAUGGGUCACUAUUUUAUUCGUGCGGCGAGGGGGGGAAAGGUGAUGGCACAGGACCCCACUGAAGAUAGUGUUGGGCUUGAGGUAUCCAAAAUCUCCAAUAGUAGCAGCCAAUUCUGUGGAAUAUGGUAAUUGAAAUAAAAUGAAAUGGAACCAGAUCUGGGAGUGGCAAGAAGAAACAACUGUUUUUAACAAUGGAAAAUUAUCCAGAUCUGUCUGUUACCCUUAAUAAAGAGCAAGCAAAAUUAUACUCCGAUUUGAUGUAGAUAUGUUCCUCAUCAUUGUUCAUUAUGGAAUUCAGAAUUUCACAACUUCCUGUUGGCUUGAUUGAAAGCAGAUAUCACCCAAGUACCACCCUAUUAGUCCAUGAAUCUAUGUAACUAUUUACAAUUGUUUGCCCUAAGUGACCCUCAAUAACUACAAGCGUGAACUUAAAUUUGCACAGGUAUCCAGUGAUAGUGGUCAGUCAGUCCUCACCUCACCCAAUUAAAUUUUGUGCAAGAGGAAAAGAUACUGAAAAUGCACCUUUACAGUACAUAGUAUGAAAAUAAAGGAAUGAGUAAAAUACACCACCGGUCCUUAAACUUGUAAGGAUGUGUCGUCCCGGUCCCCAAACUCAUAAAAUGCAUAAUCAGAUCUCCAAACUUGCUAAUUGCACUACAUAGGUCCCAAAUCUUCAUAACUUAGCUAAACCAUCUAUGUGGCAUGCUGACUGGGCUAUGACUAGACCUGACAUGUGGGGCCAUGUGCUGGCCCCUUCUCUCCACUCUCUCUCUUACGUGGGCUUGGACUUUUGGCCCAAGAAGAGGAAGGGGGAGAAAAUAGAGAGAGACGUGGUGUCGUCCCUGUGACGCCGCCGUCCGCCAUGGCUGGCUGCCCAAAGCUCCAUCAUCCAUGGGCGCAACAGCGGACAAGGGGCUGGGGAGUAGCAGAAUCGGUCGCCUAGGCUUUCGCGAAUCCAUCUGUGGUAGAAAAUUGGUGGAGGAAAGCGCUGGAACAACGGUGGCGGCCGGGCUCAAGGGGGCAGCAGGAUCUGCAGAAACGCACGGUGCAGAGCAUCUCGAUUCGCCGGGCAUGGGGAGGGCUCAGGGGAAUGAGGCGCAGGUCCCCUGGAGUGCGUGCCAAAGCCUGGACUGCUGCCAUGCCGCUGGGGGCCCUGGGUGGAACGACGAAGACGGAGGCAGAGGCCGAGGAAGAUGCGGCAGAGAGGAGCUGACGUAUCUUCGGCAGGCGCUGCUCGCACCAAGGGAUGAGGAAGGCAGCGAGCAGGUAGCCGGCGACAGCACGGAAGGUGGCGAGCAGGUGGUCUGGCAACGGCACGAAAGGCGGCGAAAGGCACGUGCCCGUGCCGACGUCGAGGCGCUAGUGAAGGGGAUGAGAGAGAGAAAGGGAGGAGAGAGUGGAUAAGAGAGAGGAGAGAUGGGCUCCACGUAUUAGGUCCAUGCCAUAGCCAAGUCAGCAUGUCAUAUUGGCAGUUUAAGUCAAGUUAUUAAGAUUUGGGACUCAUAGGGUAUGAUUAGCAAGUUUGUGUAUUUAAUUGAGCGUUUUGCGAGUUUAGGGACCGGGAUGACAUAGUGUGACAAGUUUAAGGACCGGUGGUGUAUUUUACUCUAAAGGAAUCAUAGGAUAUACAGAGACAGAGUUGAGACUUUAUCAAGUUACCAUGUUUUGCAAUGUAGUCAAAAGAUUCUAGAGCUUCUGAAGUUGUCCGAUAUAUGUUAGGAGACAAGACAUGCACAAGGUGCUCAUCAACCCACCUAGAUCAAGGAAAAAAAAUAUUAGAAAAAAAAAAGAAAAAAGUGAUCCUACCAAUUCUUUGAAAAGUGCAAGGCUCUAAGUGGGUGGUCAGGCUCCUUAGCCAGCUGCGCUUUUUGGCAUAUCAACACAAUAAAUAAGCAAAUAUGGAAAACAGCCAAUCACUAAGCAAAGUGUUGAACCACCCAAUGCAUAGGCACCACUUUUUCUAAGCACUGGUUUUAGGCAUGCAGAGAAUGGUGAGGAAAGCAGGGUUCAAAAAAAACUCAUCCGAUAGAAUACUAGUUUGCCCCAAUGGGCCAUAGUGGUAAUGAGCAGGCAGCUGGGUUGGCACAAGUGUCUUCAAACAAAUGGAAGCAUGGAGUAAAGAAAAGAAGCUAUUUGCAAACAUUUCAAUGAAGAACCUGAAAUUUACCAAGGUAAAUUUAAUUUUCUGCUUGUUUUGUUUAAUAUUAUAUUUGUUAAGUCAUUUUCAUCUAACUAAACAAAGUCUGCACCUGCAAUUCCCAGAGACAAUAAAAUGGACAUGUGCAUAAAGGUUACCACUACUAAAAGAGAAAUCACUUAUUAACUGUAUUCCUCCCAACUUCCCAAUCAUGAGCUCGUCAGAAAUUUUGCAAUGGUAAGCCAUAACUUGGUAAAACAUGUAUAGAAAUUUAAAGUGAAGGACAGGACACUAUGACACAAAAGCUAAAUACUGAGUGAAUCAACACCAAGAAAUCAUAUCGAGCAUACUGACUGAACAGGCAAUUAAUGAAAGUAAUGAUAAGAUACCUUCGCCAUUUUGCUUCAUCUUCAUUAGUGAGUUCAUCAUCAGGUCUGAUCCUGCCCUGUAGUAUAUUAAUUAUAUCUGCCAAUAAAAGAUCACAAAAAUGCAAAAGGAAUACAUUGUUUAGCCCAUAUGAAAAAAAGAACAUGGGGUUUGCAAUUACGACUAUGCAAAAGGGACAAAAGAGAAAAAACUGUAACCUGAUGAAUCCACAAGCUGUUCACCAUCUACUGUCAAUAUCGGGACUUUCUUGUAAUCAGACCACUUGAUUUCCUUUUUGCUCAAUGGAUUAACUUCCACAACCUUGUAUGGUAUAUCAUGAUAGUCUAAAAAGGCUGAUAUGAAGGCAAUGGAAAAAAGGUUUAUGUCAUGGCUGUGGGAACAUCAAAAUUCAAGAAAAGAACAAGGUACUGUUUCCAUGCAGACAAUGUCUAUUGCCCUCCCGCUCUUAUGCAAUGGAAAACCAAUAUUGACACAAAAAUCUUAACAAACUAGCACUCCUCUCAGCAAUUAUGCAAUUUUGUGAUGAAUGAUUCAUUCUUGAAUUUACUAGAUUAUAAGUUAAUCUAUGUUCUCUAUUUUAUGCAUCUACAAGAAAACAGAGCAAAGCAUCCGCAUUUGAUUAUUUAACACAAUGCUGGUUUAAAAAUUCCUCAUAUAUAGUCCUAAACAAGACUUUCUCGCCCCUUAUUUGUCUAUUUGCUUUCACAUAUAGAUCAAAAGGGUGAAUAGUAAAGUUAGCACUGCAUCAAGUGGAUGCCCCCCCACUGAAUUUCAGUAGCAAUUACAAUGACAUACUUGUACAAGUAGUAAAUUGCAGAACGACAUAAAAAUUUCCUUGACCCCAGAAGUCUCUACAGCGAAAACUUAUUUCAAACAUAACAUAGAUCGGAAUCGCGAGACUGGAGCAAAGAAAGAAAGACUCACCUCUGACCUUGUUGCAGAAGGGGCACGCCUGGUACUGGUAUAGCACUACAUUCUGCGGCAACAGAUCCGCAGGCGGGCGCUCCUUCGCCUUCGCCUCCGCCGCCGCUACAGUAGCGAAGGUAAGGGAGAAGGACACGGCGCCAGCGACCCCGGCCGGCACCGCCCUCGAGGACGGAGGCGGCGAACGGGGCGGCGGCACCAGCGGAGCGCUCCACCGCGCGCCCGCAGCGGCGGCCGCCGCUGGGGAGGCGGCGCCGUGGAGCGCGCGAGCGGAGAGGAGGGAGCGGAAAGCUAGGGUCUGCGCCGCUCGCAGCGACCUCAUUAUGCGGCGCGGUCGGGAGCGAGCGAAACGCGAGUUCGCGACGGCGUGCGGCGGACUAGCGGUGUGGGGGAUGGCGGCGGCGGCCUGCGGGUGCCGGGGGAAGAAAAUUUGCGUGGAGAAGGGGCGCAAACCGUGGCCUCUACAAGAAGCUCCAGAUGGACGACGCGUGGCUGGUGCUCCAAUCCGACGCUCACCACCAGAAGCUGCAUCUCUGCGUGACUAGGGGCUUGGCUCCAGGCUGGACCUGCGCAUUUUGAGCCCGUCCUGGCCCGGCCCGGCUCGCGCCCGGUGGGUUUUUCUCGCCCACGUUAGGUGCCGAGCCGAAUCGUGGUAAGAAAAACCACGACAAAAUUCGAGCCGGUCCGAGCCCAUCUAAAUAAUUAAUUUUAUUUAAAUUUCAAUAAAAAUAGGAAGCCUGUAUUGAUGUUUAGAACCGAUAACCUACUAAAAGAAGUGCUUGAGAUAGUAUUUUUAUUUGUGAGGCUCGUCGAGAUCAAGAAUUUGAAGGUAAACACACACGAUUUAGACAGUUCGGGCAGCUAAAUUGCGUAAUACCUUACGCCCUGUAUGUUUGCUGGAUUGAAUUGCUUUGGAGGAGGUCCCUGGCUCGCCUUAUAUUGCCAGGUAGGGUUACAUAUUGGUUGGUUACAAGAAUACUAGUCAGAAUGACUAGAGGAGCUCUACUCUUAUUACAACAAGUAUUUUUCUAAUUCUCAACUAGUUCCUGUCUUUUCAACUAGUAGUAAAGGAUCGUUUCAAUACCAGGUGAGUUACCCAUACUAAAGUCAUGACUUUUAGUCCUGAAUUCGUAGUAGCAAGUCCAAAAUCACGAUUAAAGAGGGGUUUGGACCCAAUAUGGACUUUUUUGAGUAGUGUUGUAUAGGUGCUUUCAUGAGUCAACGAAAUUCAAAGAAAUUGUGAUCUAAUGUGUAUUCAGUUUAUGCAACAAUGCUUUCAAGCUUACUAACUGAGGUACAUGACAUACUUCAAAAUAUCACGAUGACAGAUAUACUCCCUUUGUCUUAAAAUAUAAGGCAUCCUAAAAAUUUUAUGAUGUAUUAGCGAGUUAUACCUAAAGAGCUAUGUUGUGACAUGCUCUUUUAAUGGUCAUAACUUAUUUUUAGUAUUAAUCCACCGAUCAAUCUCCCUUAUCUUAUCAAUUCCGGGAAGAAUUAAAUGAGCAAUCAUCAAAAUGUAUCUAUAAUGCUGUGUAUUUGAGAAGUAAUUUUGGACACUUAGGUGCCUUGUAAUAUAAGUACGAAGGGAGUAAGUAACAAGCAAACAUGGGAAGGAGAUAUGCGCAUGGCACGUCGAUCAGAUCACAGUCCUGCAAGCUAUUACUACUGCCAUUAGCCCGGACAUCAGAGGCAUAUAUUUAUACUGAAUUAUACACAAUUAUAUUACUGAAGAUGAGACAGCAUGUCACACUACGAGAGAAGCAGAAAGAAGCAAAGACGAUAAGACCUAACCGGAUGUCACACUACAACUUAAGCGAGAUUUAAUUUAGACAUCAAUACAGCACUAAACAAAGAUUAACCCACGAGUGACUUAACCGGGUUUCAUUAUAAUACAUCCAAUGUUAAUUGUGAAGAUGGCCUCUCAGUUAAAUUCGACAGCCGUAUCAGCACAAACUCUCAUUGCUCGCCGUGGAACUCUUCGGUAUGUGAUAAUGUGAUUAUUCGUAUAUGGAAAUAGUCUACGUAACACCCUGACGUAUCAAGACUAGGCUACAUCACCCCCUCAACAAUAAAACCAGAUACUUAACACCCUCACAUUUGUAAAACCGUUUAAAUGAUCCUCUUGGGUGGUAUCGCGGUUUUGCCCUGCUGGCGCUGAGGUGGACAAAAAAUGCUGAUGUGGACCAUCUGACACAUGGACCCAACUCGUAAGUGGGCAGGUGAGGGUCCCACUGUUCUCCUUCUAGCUCCCAUGGCUGCUCGCCUCGGCUUGCUCGUGCUGUGCGCCUUUGCCCCACUGCCCAGACCCCAGCGCAUCUGCCUCCGCCCGCUCGCCAUGGCCUGCUGCGGCCGCGGCCGCGGCCUCGGCCUCGGCCAAGCGCGCUCGUUGCCUCAACCUGUCACACCUCACACGGCACCUGAGUGGCCGAGUCUGACCUCAGCGCGCACGCGGCUUACCUGGCUGUGCACUGCUGCUGCUGACUUGAUUAACGCUUUAGUGAAGAAGAUCAGGGAAGGGAAGAGAUGGCCUUCUAUGGUGUAUGGGUUGAAUUGUGCAGGGGGACAAGAUUGAUGUGGGCUGCUUGGAUUUGGUGGCUGCGAUUGGAAGGAGCAGGGAGGAGGAGCUGCUUGCUGCCGAUUUGGAGUUGGCAAAGUGACCAGCGUGCAGCAGCUGUGGAUUUGCUAUUUUGAGAAGAAAAAGGUUGCAUGGGAAGGAAAAGAAUUUCACGCUCACGCACCAGGACCUUUGGCGGCGGACGGAUUCACGAAAGGCAAAAAUCCCGGCUCGUCACCUCUUUGCGCGGGACGCCUCGCCGACGCCGGCAUUCCCACUCCUUAAGCAACUCGUGCCAGCCCCGCAGCCCCUGCCGCAUCUCUUGAUCUGGAUGUGCCAAGCCCAGCCGUAUUCCACACAUCCGAUGCGGCGCCGCCGUCCUUCUUCACAUCGCUCACCGGGCGGGGCGGUGACGACAGGAAGCUUCUGUUCGGCUGCCCUCGUGGAGGCAGCGGAGAUGGCGAUAGCGGCCCCGGUGGAGGCGGCGGAGAUGGCGCAGGCAGCGCGGAUGACGACUUGACGGGAGAGCUGGGAGAAAAAUUGGGGAACGGUGACGAGGGGGUAAAAAGUGAAAAGAAAAUAAAUGCACCACUUACAUCUGGGCCUACGUGCCAACUUGGCUAACCGUGUCAGCGUGGCGUGGAACGGUGGCAAAACUGCCUUAGAAAACCAAGCCACUCGAGGGGGUGAUUUGAACGGUUUUAGAUACUCUAAGGGUCACAAUACCUGAUUUUGUAGUUAAAGGGGUAUGUAGUUUACUAUGAAUACGUUAGGGACUUGUAUAGACUUUUUCCAUCAGAUAUCACCGGGCUCAAGUUCAAACACCACACCAAAGAAGUCUAGUAAAAGGCGCACCUCCCACAUAGCCAGUGACAAACAACUGCCCUGUUCGCUUCAGCUUAUAAGCCGGCUGAAAAGCUGAAACGGCUGAUUUGUUGUGAGAGGAAAAUACUGUUUGGUGGCUGAUAAGCCGGCUGAAUAAGCUGAAGCGAACAGGGCUAACAACCUAAACGAGAUUUAGACAUCAAUAGCACUAAACAAAGAUUAACUCAGGAGCUAGUGAUUCAACUCAGGCGGUGCCAGUGUGGAGUUUGUUUAUCUCCGGGAUCAGUACAGGGAAAGGUGGAUGCACAUGCGGGAACACUUGCCAUGGGAAGCACUGCCGAGGGCUUUGGAUCGUUAUUUCCCUGCGAUCCAUGGAGUAGGCAGCGACGUUCCUGCCGACAUCAAAAUAGAUAAUGUCCUCCGUUGGAUGGAAGCUGAGCACCGUAAAGAGGUCGUUCUGUUUUAUGAGGUUGGCGACGGCCUCAGAAUACACUGUCCUUGCACUCGUUGCUUCUGGGUUCGUCCUUGCAAGUUCCAUGACGUCAGCUCGAUGCACCUGCUUCUCCAUGCCCCUGCGGCAGAGCAGCAGGCCGCAUAACGAGUGCACGACGAAGAUCAUCUCCUCGUCCGCGGCGCAGCAGCCGGUCUGCAUCUGGGGCAUGAACCCGAGGUCCGACGCGAGGACGGACUCCGCCGCGGGCGGGCGGGCGGGCGGGCGACGGCAGCCCGGCGAGGUGAGGAAGCAAGGGCGGCUGCCCCAGGGGCGUAAUAGCCUCUCGGACUGGAGGAAGAGCCGGAGAGGUGGGGGCCGUGGGAGCUCCAGUAUCGGGUGGCGAAGCCGGGGCGGAGGAUGAGGGCGUUGUAGCGGCGGGAGACGGCGCGGAGGCGGUGCAGGUGCUUCAGCGGCAGGCGGAGGAGGAUCUCGUCGACGACGUCGUCGCAGAGAAGAUCCAUCGAGAUGAUCCGAGGUUCGGGAGAGACCGGAAAGUUGCAAUCACAUCGGCUCGGUAGCACGCCGCACGCCGCACGGGGUGAUUACGGGACGUUUGAAUGCUAAUUAGAAGGAUUAAAUAUGAGUUAAUUACAAAACUAAUAGCAGAACACCUGGGCUAAAUCGCGAGACGAAUCUAUUAAACCUAAUUAAUCCAUCAUUAACGAUAAUUACUGCAGCACCACAUUGUCAAAUCAUGGACUAAUUAGGCUUAAUAGAUUCGUAUCGCGAUUUAGCCUAGGGGUCGUGCAAUUAGUUUUAUAAUUAGCCUAUGUUUAAUACUUCUAAUUAGUAUCAAUCAUCCGAUGUGACAGGGGCUAAAGUCUUCCAAACAGAACCUAUGAUUCGUGCGCUCACGACUACGUAGGAAUCAAGCCGGUUAGAGAUAGAAUCAGAUUCUUUGUAAGGUUUUGGAAAGGAAGGAGCGAAAAUAGUAGGAGUAUUAUCGGAUAUUCCCGAUUCUGUUCACCGUGCGCAAUUCAAAUAGAUCCUACCUUCAAUAUUAUUGGAUAAUAUGAGAAAAAUAAAAAAAAUGAUAUUCCCUUUCUUUGGCUGAAACGGGAUUAGUGAUGUAACCCGAACUUUCUAUUCCUAUUUGUUCCGAUCCCUGUUUUGAGAAUAAUAGAGUAUGCCUACAAAAUAUAUUAAAAAUUAUGUCCCUCUUAAAUUCUGAGCAUCGAGAGCUGGACGUCGUGAAGAAGGACAGCAGCUCGGCGAGGGGAAGGCGCGGCAAUGAGAGGGGAGAGCUCGUCGGCGACCUCCGUCCCUAGCGGAAGGGAGUCCCCGGAUCCCCGUGACAGAGAUGGGGAAACACCUCCCACCGCGGGGCGGAGCGGAGGCAAGCAUUCUCAGGGGUUAGCUCUCCAGCGCCUCGCCAUGGCACCUAUUCUGCGCCACAUGAUUUUUUUAGAGGAGGAGGGUAGAGUUUCCACCUGAAUCAGAGGGGGCGAUUGGAGGUGUUGAAACAGGUGGAUCGUGGGAGAUUCAGGGCAGGAUGUGUGCCUACAUCGGAUUGGGAUCACGAGAUUGAGAAGGAGCGCAUUGCUCGAGAGAUCAAACGAAGCUUGUUUCGGGGGAACUCAAACUUGGAAACUGAAUCCUCAAAUUCGAUUGCCGGUGAAUCUCCUACCCAGUAUGCAGAUGAGGGGGGGUGGAAUUGGAACGAUCCAUACAAUAAUUGGAAGAAGCGAUCAAUCGAAUCCCAAAGAGUUCGUGGUGUGACAGGGAGGUUCUACAAAUGAGAGCUAGGAGGAAGACGAGGUCAAAGAGAGAUGUGCCCAUACGGAGCAGGAAUGGGCCCCUGUUUGGACGGAAUAUUGUUGACAUCUACGUGCACUCGUGGAGGGAUGAGUCCAUAUCCAAAUGGAUAUGGAUACCCAGGCCUGCUCUGUUGGGGGAACAAGGAUUCCCAGCUAGAAAAGAGGAAACCCGCAAAGAGGGAUGGAAGGCGCACCGCCUCAUUAGGGUUCAACCUCCGUCUCCCCUUUCCAAAUCAUUCACAAGCGCACUAAAAAUCGGUGAGAUGAGGAGGGAUCCGCCAAGGCCGAUGAGAUGGCCUGAUCAAGGUGGAGGUUCGAAGCACAAUCACGAAGAGGAUCGACAUGGGGGAGGUCAAUUCGAUUAGGAUUGUAGAGAGGAGCGAACGGAUGAUGGUUUCCAUAGAGAAUCUCUACUUCGGGAGAGACUACAUGAUACGCGAGAGAUCUCAAGGAGCUGGUCGAUGCAGGGAGCUGCUCGCCAUGAAUUAAGAGGGGAUGAGGGGGAGGCGAAGCGGAGAGUGUUGGUAUAUUUAAUGAUCAUGAAUAAAUCCACAAGUGCAGGGUUAUACCGUUGUAGCAUUUUGCCCAAGAGUAUUCCCAAGGGUAUCGUAUUUCCCAAAGGAAGGUGGGUAAGUCAAAAGAGUUUACUAUGCAUACGAGUAUAUCAUAAGACGGAUAGGGACAAUACUCAAGACAGGGGUAAGAUAAUGAUGGAUAGAGUAGUACGACACAUACAGAAGGAUCAUCUCAAGAUAACUAAGCUAGAGAGAAGGACUAAGAGUUAGCUCUAGGUUCAUAUGCACUUCCUAUAUACUAAACAUAUCAUACAAGCAUAACAUGCAUACACAUUGUAUAGGGACCAGGCCUAUGCACCCAGGCACACGCGGGGAGACAGUACCCUACUGGUCUGCCAGCGUAGUUACUACUAAUUUACGAACUCCUAUAGUGUACCCAAACAUGGGGUAUUACAAAGGAUGGACAGGGCUAUCACCACUUGCCGCCUACCCCUAGCAAUCUGUGGGGUAAACUCAUAUCCAAUGAAGCUAAGCAAUCCAAGCAGCAUGCUUUCAUUAUUAACAACACUCCAACCAUCCCGUCUACGGUGACAAUGGCUAAAGCCACCAUGGAAAUGGCCACUGAACUGAUCCCGUAGCAUAGAUCAACUAGCCUAUCCAUGAUAUGUAUGCACACAAAGUAUAACAUGUAGCAAGGUCUAUAAACACACAUGAGAGUAUACAAGCCUAUACUAUGAUAGUAAGGGUAUACAACUAGCAUACGGGCGUAUAAGCCUAGCAUACCACUAUAGCAAGGGUAUACAACCAACUCAUGUAUAGAAGAACCAAGCACAACACUAAAUAAAGAAGAUGUAUACUUUGAAUAGACUAAACUCAACCUAGGAAUAAAAGAUACAAGAGACAUACCCUAGAUUCCAAGGAGACCUGGAACCUGAAGUAGAGCUGUUCUAGCCUAACUCCACUAACAUGGAAACUAAGAGGGAGAGAGUGAUUCACUAGUGGUGUGUGUGUCAUGAAUGGACCCCCCCUCUCAUAUUUAUAGGCUCCAAGAGACGGUUCUAUGAGGGAAUCUUCGCGGAAUAUCCCUUAACCGACCUAAACCAUUGCCAUGUGGAAACUGGAGACAAGAAGGGACAAGGGCGGUUCGCCCGACCCCCUGUGGGCCCCCCUCGCAACCGCCUUUCUCCGGGUGACUACUUGGUGGGUCCCAAUAGUGGUUGUGUGCGUUAUCCGGUGGAUUGAGGCGGUUGUGGUAGUUUCUGGACCCUUCAAUCAAUGGGAUGCACACAUGGCAAUCUCCCAUUAGUCAGAAGCGUGUUUCUUGAAUCCAUAGAGGGUGCUUUCUCCAUCCUUUUGUGCUAAUUCACCUGCAACCAAAUAUUCUCCAAGGACAAGUGGUUGUCGCGGUGGUGGUUAUCUGGUCCGCGGUCGUCGUCGUUGGGGUGGUGGUUGUUGCUUUGGGAUUGGUCCACCUCCUCCUCUUGAAUGGGUUCCAGCCGACCUCCCCUACGGUAGCCAUGAUCACCUCGACUGCGAUCGGAUCUACUCUGAGUAGAUCGACUUUGGGAGUGCUGGGUAUAUGUAGAUAUGGAGUGUGACGAUCAUCCUGAGCGUGCUGGGGCCUAGGCUUUUUCCUCGAUCUGGGUGUUAGCGAUAUGGAUGCGGGCCCAGAUCCACUACAGUUGCUUUGAACCCGGAAGAUUUUCUGAAAGUUUAGCAUAUGGUGAUGGCGUGUACGUAAUCUUGAUCAUGGGAGUAUGACAAGUUUCUCACUAUGGGUCACCACAAUUUGACAAAGCUCAAUGAGAGAACAAGUAGAAUAUGUGGAGGCUAUGUAAUAGGAUCAACAUAUGGCCUUGGAUGGGAAUUUCUCCUCAUCUUCUCGAUGGGAGAUGUGAUGGUUGAUCGUGUGCCUCACGUUGCAUCCUUGGUUGAUCCGAUCGCAGAGGUCUUUGUCAUGCCGUGAGCCAGAGCGUUGCGACUUGAAAGUUGUGCCCCGCUUCUGCCAAAUCGGCAAAGAUAGGUCCGUAUGGUUGAUUAAGGCUGCCACAACCUGGACCAUCGCUUGCACUCGGGCCAAUCUCGGGGUGUUGGGAAGGAGAGUGGUGAGCUCUUCGUUUGCGGCGAUAAGGUUCUCCUUUGGAGUCAUGUAGACCUUGUGGCCAUCGUAGUCCAUAGUGAACUCUCACUCGAGGUUGUGAGGGUGGAGAGUGUGCUGCUUGUUAGAGCGCGACCUCCUCCUCCCAUCCCGGUGAGAUUCAACAUGUUCUCCAUCGCCAUUGGCGUUCAACAACAUUGAGGAUCUGCUAUCGCUAAGCAGCUUGGUUGGUGUUCUUUUGAAUGUGUUGUGCCUUGGCUUGCUCCAUUUCCCCCUCGAUGUUUCGUUCAUCAUCGAAGACCGGUGCUGCUGGUGCGACAACGUAAACAAAAUCGGGGGGCAAGUUGCUUUCGGAGUCGUCAGCGGAUUCAACAAAAGUUUCCAUCUGGUCUUCAUCUUCUGCCUCCGGCUCCGGACCCAUCGUGGAUUGUGUUUGGGAGCACCCCUUUGACAACUGAUCUGAGUCGAUGGUGCAGUCCAUCUCCACGCCUUCCUCCAAGAUUGGAAAUAGGGAUGGCUGCUGAUAACAUCCAUGAUCUGUAGCUCAUCCUCGUCCGACUAGUCAUUGACCGGUCGAAGAAGUUUGAUCUCACCAUAGCUUUCCUCGUUGCCUCCUGGAAGGUGGCGGCAGCACUCCUCAGCACGUAAGGGAUACGGAUCUGAGGGGUCGAAUCAGUUGGCACCCCUCCAAGAGUAAACUCGCAAAGGGUCAUGCACUCGGCUAGUUGAGAUACAAUGUGAUCCAUACCUUGGACAAGAUCGUCGGCGGAGAGAGCCACGGGGGCUCCGUCCUUUCCCGCUGCAGGGUACAGCAGAUCAUCGACCGGAACUCAUGGGUUCCUAGUCUGUUGCGGUCUGCUGAGGAUUACUUUGUUAGCCUAGGUCUAGUUGCAAACCAGAUUGGAUCUGUUAGCCGCGACCGGUGCCGUAGCCCGAUCGAAGGUUUCGAUCUUCUCGACCAAAGGACUAGGGAUGAUGCACGGCACUUCCCUGAUGAGAAGCUGGCCUCUGAGAGGGACCGAGUGGUUGGCCGCACGAUCACCGAUGGCGGAGGCAACGUGAUGUCCCUAGAAGGGAAUUGCCGCUCCCAUCACGACGAAGAUGAUGCAACUCUUCGGGAUGCUGACAACGUCCAUCAAGCUCACCAACUGACACGGCGAACCUCUACCUGGCACGCCAACUAUCAGGGGAAUAGGCCGGCAGUUCACUAUAGGGUAGACCAAGGUGGUAGAUUGUGUGGAGGGGAUCACCGCACCUAGAACUAGAUGGAUGAACACAACGACCCAGGGGACUUUACUAGGUUCGAACCACCAGAUUGGUGUAAUACCCUACGUCCAGUGCUCUAGGUUGUAUUCUUAGCGUGUAGCGUAUCGAAUAUGGCUUGGGUUUUUGAGGGAGGUCCCUGCCACCCAUAUAUAGUCCGGGGGACAGGGUUACAGAUCUGAUUUGAUCUAAUCCUAGUCGGUUACAAGGAAAUCUAAUACAUUUCGGUACAAUUUAUCUCUUUACAUAUUUAAACAUGCAUAUCUGAAACUAUAUCUCUUGAUGCCGAUCCUUCAUCUUGAUCUGUACGCCUAUCCUGAGUCCCCCUCGCAUGGGCUGCGGUACCCCCUUUGGAGGGCAGCCAGGCCCAUCCGAGUGGCACCCGGGGGUUAUAUCCCCCACAUCCGAAUAUCAAGCAUCACAUAGAACAAGAUUAUAGCAGCUCUAUUCUACUAUAUCUGAUCUCACAACAACCUAGACAUGAAUCAUGCUUUUUGCUACCCACAAUUUUCAAGCUAAGGUUUGAUCAUGCAAGCUAACAGACUCAAAAGCAUGGGUAGGAUACUAAGUUGUAACAAGACAUAUGAGAGGAAAUAAAUAGAGCAAUUAUUCAUCAUUUCAACCAUGGAGAAUUAAAACAUUCUUACCGCGCAUAGGAAAGCAGUAAAUAGUUUUGGUAUUUUUAGUUUUUCAGAUUUUUAUUUGUUUUUAUCAUGCAUAUUCUGAAAAUAGAAAGAUACAAGUUACCUCUCUUGUGGGGGGUCCUCCCCCAAGCUAGCAUCAGGCUCACUGUUGUUGGUUGGGGUUGUACCCCGUCCAACGAAAGUAAGCUUUCUACUCCUUCUCUUGGUGUUUUUGCAGUGCACUUUGACAAGUUGGGUGCCCAACUUGCAACAAAAGUGCGACAACAUGGGGCAACAUCCAAUUGGGCAAAAGAACUCUCCCCAAGUGGUUGCUUCCCUUGAGUUCAAACCCGCGACAAAGAACAAGAUAGAGGAAGAGAGUUCCCUUGCUUCUGUCUCCUUGCCAUAUUAUUCACAUCACAAUCAAUGAAUAGUUCACCAACAACAAUAAUGCAACAUAGAACAAGUUCAGCAUCAACAAUGCAACAUACAACAAAAGUUCUUCAGCAACAAAUAACAAGUUCACUAGCAACACACUUCAGUUGAGGGAAGGAUCCACUUGGCUCUGACCGGUGCUGAAGUGAAUCAGGCUAAAAAUUAGAGUAUGCAACUGCUUUGUGGUGUUCUUCAAAGCUUCAAGCUCUUCUAUCUGAGACUUAAAUGUUGUUCCUUGCGUUUCAGCCCUCACUCUCAGUGCACCCAUCUCAGACUCCUAUUCAACAAUCUUUUGCUGAAGUUGUGCCCCCCUCGUUUCUCACUCUCAAGAUCAGCUUAGAUUUCUUCUAUCUGCAACACAGUACCAACCCUAGUCCUUUUCUUUAAGGGUGGGUGAAUGCGAGCAACCUCCCGUAAUGUCCUAGAUUGGACAACUACAGCCACUGCUUCAGCAGCUAUCUUUGGUUAGUCAUCUCCAGGUUGGGUGACAAUUUGUUCCAUCCGAACCUAAUAAAAGAAAGAAAAUGAAUGGUCUCACAAAAGUACUCACAAAUAUUUCUAGUGUUAUUGUUGUAAAGAACAAUGCAAAGUAAACAAGUACUUACAAUGGCUGCCUGUACUAGAGCGGUGUAGCCAUUUUUGCUGCAAUGGAAGUUCUUGAAAAGAUCAAUUGGAGUUGGGUCUCUUUCAACUUGCUUCUCCCUCUAAUAUGAUGUGAAAACAGGCAUAAAUUGUUAGCUUUGAACAAAGAGCAUGAGUAAGUUCAUCAAAUAAAGUAUAGAGUAAAAACAUGACUUGUUCAAUUGCUUACCACAACAUGAGCCUGUGCAAUGUAGCUUCUAGAUCAUGUGCAUUGAAUAUACUUGACCAGUCCACGAUUACCGGUGUUUGUAGUACACCUCUCCUUUUAUAGUAAUGAAAACUCGUGUAAGAGUAAUGAAUAAGAGGAACAUAUAAGUACAUGCAAAUGUGUUAGUGGCAAGUUGAAGUUCUAUCAUACCUUGUGAGGUUGGCUAGACCACAUCGUAACCAGUUUGUUCCACUGGUCAUCAUUCAUAGUGGUCACAGGAGUUCUAGUUGGGACUUUAUUUGUUGCAAGACCAUUGAAGUACUUUUUCUUGAGCCGGUACCUCCCAUGUCUCUGUUGCAACUUGAGCAUGUCAGUACAUGCCUUUAUGACUGGUUGACUGGUGGUUUCAAUGUCAAAUUGUCCCUAUAUUAAGCAAAAACAUAAGAGUAGUUAGAAAAAUGGAUGAAAAGAAAGGAUGCAAAAAACUAUGGUAUUAGAUGAGUCGAUAUAUACACACCGGCAGUUUGCCAAUGUAGUCCUUGAGAUAUUUUUCAUUAUGGGCCUUAUAGUCCUUAUAGUGAGUAAGGAUCGAUAUAUGCCCACGCAAUAUGAUCCCACCCUCUGAUGCAAACUUUGUAGCUUGCAUUGGUGCCUCUGGCCAUUUAAGCCCUUCUCGAACAUGGAUCGGAAGCUUGGUGUGUAACCCUAAGCUUGGCGUGUAACCCUCUGCUUAUCCUAUCCAGAUCUCUGCCCAACCUUCUUGAAUCUCGUGGCACUUGUACUCUUGUGGAAGGGAGUGCAUCACCUAAAAAUUUUGUUACGAUCAUACAGGUGGUUUGUUUAAUAAUGAUUUGGUUGCUAAUUGUGAUGUUCCAAUUUUUUGGCAUUGGGAAAAAGAGAUCAAAUGAAUUGCCUUUGCAAGUUGUCAUGUCAGCGAUGUCCUCAGUGUGGGUGGCUGUUACUUGACCUUUGGUUGGCAAUUCUUGUGAAUCAGGAGUCGUCCCAUCCGAAACUCCUGCCUGAGCUAAAGCCAAUGCCUUUGCCCUAGUCACUCUAGGAGGCAUACUGUCAGAGGCAUCAGGUGCUCGAAUUCUCUUGGACAACCCUCUUCCCCCGCUGACAUGUAUGCUAUCACUGAUCUUAUUGGACAAAUUGCAUAAACAAAAAUAAUGAGAAGCAAUCCUACAUAACUGAUACAAGAAAUUUGGUAGGCAACAACAGAUGCCUUACAUUGGCAUGUCUCUUGGUCAGAUUUAGGCCGUUCCUGAGAUGGAUCAUACUCCGGAUCUGGAUCUUCACUUCUUUUUUCACUUCUUGUUUCAUUGGUAUCCUUUCUUUAUCCUUUUGUUGCCUCUUUAAGGAUGUUUGUGACUUUUCCAAUACGAAGAUAGUACCUUCUAGUUCCUUAAGAUACAUGCAACCGUCUUCUGCUUGUAAGGAGUGAGCUUCGGUUCUUUAUGUUAGGAAAAGAAAGAAACUUCUGUAAAAUUGUCCAAUCCCUAUAAAUGAAACAAACUACUGUACAAGAAACAAACUGCUUCAAAAUCUAAAGGUAGAGCGCACCAAAAUAAGAUCCAAUAUAGGAUGUUCCUAGCCAAAAGAAAAUCCAGGAAAGGUUGUUCCUACCCAACCUUAUACGAGCCGAAAGGGCAAACUACUAUAAAAGAAAUAAAUUAAUGUAAAAUCGUAAAGGUGCUCCCCCCAAAACAAGAUCCAAAAUAGGAUGUUCCUACCCAACCUUAUACUAGCCCAAAGGACAAACUAGUAAAAGAAACAAACUAGUGUAUACAUGGGAACUGCCAGAUCUACAAACAAAUAACAAAGUAAAAGUAAUAACAAAACUAAACAAGGAAACACUUUAAUCGGAACACUGGGGACGCUUAACUGGGGAGGAAAAUAUUGUACCUGGUUGUUGAUAUUUCCUUCGUACAACCUUUCCGCCUGGUACCAUUGCGUUACCGCUGGUCCUACGGAGGGAGAUGGGAAAUGGACGACAGCUAUGAGGGGAAGAUUGUGGAUGGCGGUGAGCAGGUGAAGAUUUGGGAUGCAGGCGAGGAGGUGAACGGGAACUGAUGGCGGAAAGUUUUUUGAUGCAGAAAUUUGGGCAGAGGGAGGGAAGGGACGAGGUAUUUGGCCAAUUGGUUGGAUGGCGCUGUCACAUUACCAAUAUACCCUUUUAGUAUGGUGGUGGAUGAAACGGGAUGCUGUUGGGAGGGGGAAGAAAAAUUGACAUUUCACAUCUGUCACAUGGCUUGGCCUGGGCGUUCGAAUAUUUGAAUAGCACGCCAAAAAGAUUUUGGGGCUGGUUUGCGCCAGGUAAUGGUGACCAAAGGAUAUUCCACUUAGCAGAAUAUGCCGGACAAAAAUCUGAAUCGUGAAAUGUCUAGUAGUCUAUUCAUGGACGUUUCUUAUUCUUGGUACAAUCAGCGUAACCUCUACCAAAGCUUUAUUGGUAGAAUCAGCAGAAUCUGGACCCAGAUUCAACAAAUUAUCAUUCAAAAUCUUCGGUAUAUCAUGAGGACAACUUCAAAAAGUUGUAUAUUCCGUUAUUUGGUACCACUCCCUCCGUUUAUAUACUGCUCCGCUUAUAUUGAAGUACAUUAUUAGGUACUACUCCCUUCUUUUAUAAGGCGUAUGCGCAUAAGUGUAAUAAGAGAGACAAUGUCAUAUCAUGCCACGUCUUAUGAAUAAGAACGGAGGGCAUAUUUAGGAUGGAGAACUACAUAUAUAUAUAUAUAUAUAUAUAUAUAUAUAUAUAUAUAUAUAUAGAGAGAGAGAGAGAGAGAGAGAGAGAGAGAGAGAGAGAGAGAGUUUUACAUUGGAAAGAAAUCUCCCUUCGAUUGGGUGUGCUUACUACUUAUUCUUGUGUACAUUGGCAAUCAAACAUCAUUUUCCCGAUUGGAUUUUCUAACUACUCAAUCAUGUGCACAUUGGAGAUCAAACAUCCCUCCUUUGGUUGCAUGUGCUUACUUACACACAUGUCAACAUUGGAAACCAAAGAAAUCUCCCUUCGAUUGGGUGUGCUUACUACUUAUUAAUGUGCACAUUGGCAAUCAAACAUCAUUUUUUCGAUUAGAUUUGCUAACUACUCAAUCAUGCGCACAUUGGAGAUCAAACAUCCCUUCCUUUGGUUGCAUGUGCUUACUUACACACAUGUCAACAUUGGAAACCAAAGAAAUCUACCUUCGAUUGGGUGUACUUACUACUUAUUCAUGUGCACAUUGGCAAUCAAACAUCAUUUUCCCCAAUUGAAUUUGCUAACUACUAAAUCAUGUGCACAUUCCAAAUCAAACAUCCCUCCCUUCAAUUAAAUGGCUUCCUUGGAUUAAGUAGCUCUGAACAUAGUUUUGGGUUAUAUUGAAGAUUACAAACAAAAACAUUACAAAGGUAGUUUUGGGUUUCUUUUAUCAAUAGCAUCACUCAUUACAUGAUGGUGAGGUCAGAGAAGUCUCCUUUUUGGGUGGCGAAAGACUAGACCCUGCCACAUCUGUAUUCCUGCAUGUAUCCAUAAUCUUAAUCCACUCGAUUGACUCAAACACUUGGAAAUCUGAGUCUUCAACGCCCCUAGAGCAGUUAGAUGAUCUAGCUUCAUUCGCAACAUGAAGAUGACAUACCAGCCUAUCUGCUUGGUCACUCUGCACCCCAUUGGUACCAGACCAGUUAUAAGACUCAUCCGACUCCGGUACAAACUCUGCCAGAUCACCAAUAUUUAAAAUCUAAGCACAAAGCCUAGGAAGAAAUUAUUACAAGGCUCAAUGAAAUAGUUGGUUCGUACAUGACAAUGAAACAUUUAUUGUUCAAAUCGAAUACAAUAAUCAAUGGCAAUGAAAUUGUUGGCGCUAGAAAUCGGUCAACCGAAUCCCCAGCGUCUGACACACGCCCCGGGAGAAUCUGCUUAACUCCUGUUCGGGUGAUCGCCCUGGUGCGGUUCGCGUGGCGUGCCAGCCAAUCUGACCUAUUGAUUGGCAAGGGAGAAUACGUGUCAGAUCCCAAAGGUUGCGAUCGGCUAAGUUUCCGAUCUCAAGAAAGCUUAUCAGCGAAUCGGCCGAUUUGCCGUAAUAAAGAAAUCGGCUCUGAAGCAGCCGAUUACUGAGUAGCGUGAAUGAAAACUGCGGGAGUAAUCAAUGCAACGCUACAGCAACAACACUAGGAACAGAUCUAAUUGGCUAUACGUAAAAUAAGUGAAUUAAAUAGCAGAAUAUAAGGAAAGCCGAAACUGCCGAUUCCUAGCUGGAUAACUGGUGAUAAAACUAGAAAAACAGGUAAAACCUAUGAUUCUAGUAAAUAUCGAUAACUAGUGAAUAAAUCUAAACGAAACGACAGCGAUGCGCCCAAAGUUAAAGCUUAGAAUUUACUCGAUAAGCGGAACUUACAAGAUCGGCCGGAGAUCAAGUUGAUGCAGCCCCGCCAACCCGUAUGAACUCGUGAAAAAGAAGAAAAGUAUUGGCGAAGUCGCCUGCUUGAAAGUAAGUACGAGGAAAUAGUAAUUUGUUGUAUUGAGUUGUUGAUUCAUUUUAGUAUUGAGUUGUUGAUUCAUUUUACAGAUCUACAAAGGUGGCUAUUUAUAGCCCCGUACAAACGACUCCUUAUCCGACUAGAACUUUAUCUCUAACUUUAAACAGAAAAACUUUUUAUCCGACUAGGACUCUAUCCCAAAUCUAAACAGAAAAUGAAUAUUUACAAGUACGAUUCGUACUAUCUUUACGUGCCUCAUGGGCUGACCUCUUCUUCAUCUUCAUAAUCCUUUUUAAGCCCACAUCGGCCCAAUUACCUCUUUAGCAAGGAGGUAACCGAUCAGGACCUACACACCAAGGGCUCAAACUCAUCCUGACCCUGGGCACUAGGGUCGGACGGGGCGGAGAUCCUCCCUUGAGGGUCGGGCGCGUCCGAUCCCAAACCUCAGGGGUCGGGCGAGGCGGAGAUCCUCCCUUGGGGGUCGGGCGCGUCCGAUCCCAAACCUCAGGGGUCGGACGAGGCGGAGCCCCAAGGAUCAAUCGGCCGAUCCUUAACUGUAGCAUUACUUGGCCGAUCCUUGACUGUAGCGCCAUUCGGCCGAUCCUCGACUGUAGCACCAUUCGGCCGAUCCUUAACUGUAGCACCAUUCGGCCGAUUUCCAAUUGUCGCCCCUGUAUCUUGCAAUAUCUUCAAAUUUCUUUCUCUCCUGACGCCGAUUUUACUCGUGUCAAAAUCUGGUGUCAACAGAAAUAAUUGUUUAACAUUCUACCUCUUUGUCAUUGGGGUUCGAAGAAGGUGCCGACGUAGCAGGAUUGGUUGACAGACGAUGGUCAUCAGGAGCUAGAGAUACAUGAUUAUUUGGAGGAGGAGGAGCUGCAGUAGCAGGUGUAGUAGAGCCUUCCAAUGUAGUUGGAGCAGUAGUCAGUGUAGCAGAGCCUUCCGACGUAGUUGGAGCAGGAGCAGGUGCAACAAAGCCUUUCGACGUAGUUUGAUCGAAGCAGGUGCAGGAGAGCCUUCCGAUGUAGCAAGACCAAGAGCAGGUGCAGGAGAGCAUUCCGACGUAGCGAGACCAGGAGUAGGAGCCACCUCAGGAUCUUCAUGAGCUUGCAAAGUAGUGAGACCAGGAUCAUCCUUAGCUUGCGAAGUAGAGAGACCAGGAUCAUCUAGAGUAGCAGCGGUAGACACUUCAAGAUCAUCAGGAUCUGUAGCUGUUUCCACCACAGGAUCUUCCUUUUGCUGUUGAGAGGCAACAAUAUUAGAUAGAACCAUGAGUAUUGAUGCAUUUGUUUCCUCACCAUCGCCACCCGUCUUUGUGGGAACAAGUGUGGAAUCCUUUUCUAUCAGGAUCGUCGUUGAUGUCAACAAUUGUGUAAUUCCACCUGAACUGUGAUGUGGCAUAGAGACUUCAGAGGAUUUACUCAGUUCAAUCAGAGGCAUGAUUAGCAAGGGGGUCUGACCAGCAUGUGGGAGUUGAAUUUGCGGUGCUGGUAACCUGAUCUGCUGGUACACCUGAUUGAGUGCAGCAGAGAAGGUGGUGAUCACAUUGUUGAUGCUCUGGUUUGCCCUCUGUGCCACCUGCUCUAGCCACGCAAAUUGUCUUUCCUCCUGACGAGCCAGUCUCUUGUCCAACCAUUUUUGCAGCUCGGCCAAGCACAUAGUACUUUCUGCUUAGUUUGCCUAACCAUCAACCAGUCCUUGAAGAAUUAAGGCAAGCUCCAUCGGCUGACUGGCUGUUGCUGGAGUGAUCGGUACUAUUUCUGGUCAUGAGUGACUUGGAGACAAGGUACAUACGUAAUUUUUUUCUCACUGCGUUCAGUAUCUGAGCAAUAGUUCUCAUUUCUCUACGCAUUAGGAGAUGGUUCAUUCCUAGCCCUUAGGCCAUGAUGUCUAUCUCCUAGUCUCGCUGGCUUGUAUACCUUGAAUUUUGUUUUGGUAGGGCUAUACUAAUGUCGCUAAUUUUUGGGUUCAGUUUGCACCUUUCUACCGUUCUUAUCUUUUUUAGUAAGAUGACUCAGGAUGACGGAGAUCUAGUGAGCAUACAGCAUUUGUUGGGCCACAAUCAACCCAUCUUAGAUAACAUCUUGAAUCUCACAAAGAAUAAAGUCCACGAUGUCAAAAUUCCAGCCAGUCAUGAUGUGAAGAAGCCACUACUAAAGACUAGUGAUGGACUCGGCAUUACCGAUCCGUGGUAACAAUGUCUUCCUUAGUGCUUGGGGAACCACAUUGGCCUCAGGUUUAAGCAUUUCAAGCAUGCGAUAUGCUCAGCUAGAAGGGAAUGGAUCUACAAAGAGUUCAGCCAUAUCCUCAUCCGAAGGGAAUGAUCCACUAAGCAAACUAUGGCGAGGUGGUUCACGACCCGGUAGACAAUAUGGUGUAGGGACACGUUACACGUAUUGACUCCAAGACUAUCAGCAAUUUGGUGUCACCAAAUUCUAUGUGGAGAUUCCUAAAACAUGACCUGAAUGUACUCUCUGCUCUCAGGAAUGUACACUGUAGCAUACAAAACUCUGACCCAAUCCUCAAUAAACUGAUGAUGACCUGAGACCAAAUUAGCCAAACCGGGAAGUUGAUCGAAGUAUCCCUUAAUAUCCUCUCCUCCCGCGGCCAUAUUCAUAUGAUUCCAAUUUAUAAUCUUGUGCUCAAAUAGUUUGGUGGACAACAUUUUGUAGUUAUAGUAGAAAGUUUGCUGAAUGACAUUCCUAAAUUUUGGUUUAACCCGUAUGUCAUGGGAUUUUUCAAACCACAGAUCCUCAGACACAAAUCUAAGUCUUUUAAUCAUUUGGUAGCUAUGCAUGCUUAGGUCAAUCAUCCUUAGCGGCUCUUCUGGUGGAGGGUAAAGAGGUACCUCAUUCUGCUCCCUGGGGUUGGGCGUAGAAAACUCAGUAGGGUAGGGAGGUCAAUGCCACGUAGAUUGCUAUCUUUCGGAAGGCGCCGAGGUUGACUCACCCUGUGUGCAGCAGGAAGGCGUCGAGGUUGACCCACCUCGUGUACAGCGGGAAUGGGCAGGAUAAGACUCCUGUGUAAUGCACCUGCCCCCAGAUGUGCCUGCAGAAUUCGCCUGUGACUCCCUUUGUCGCUUCAUCAGAGGUGGGUGAAGCACCUUUCCAUUUCUCUUGCCACCAUUUUAGCCCAUCUGCAAAAUCUUUCUUGAAUCAGCUACCGCAAUGAUCUCAAAAAAUUUAACAAAUCUCCCUUUCAACGACGAAUACCGGUGGAAUUGGGGCGAGCGGCGGCAGAUUGCGGUAGCAGCGGAGCGCAGCCAUGGUUGCGGGCAGCGGCAGCAUGUGGCGGCGGCGGCUAAAACCUACCAAGGGCGAGCGCCGCAAGUGACCUUGUAGUAAAUGGGGAACGACGGGUCAGCAAGGGUGACACGGCAUUGGAUAAAGUCAUAAAGGUAUAAUGCACACCCAGACAAGAAGAUGGGUAGGAGUUUCCUACCCAACCUUGUUCUAGCAUAAGGAUGUUUCGUUGUUCGAGAAUACACCGAACUGGAUAAAAAGCCAGCCAAAUAGGCGUUCAAAGAUUUUGAAAGUAGCAUGUUCUGGUGUUUGAGAAUACACCGAACCGGAUAAACAACCAGCCAAAUGGGUAUUCGAAGAUUUUGAAAGUAGGAUGUUGUGGUGUUUGACAAUACACCUAACCAAAUAAACUGCCAGCCAAAUGGACAUUCAAAGAUUUUGGAAGGCGUCACAGGAUGUUCCGAUGUUUUACAAUACAAUGAGCCAGAUCAAUGACCAGCUAAGUGCACUUGCGAACAUAUUGAGAUGCGUCAAAAGGAUUUUCCCACAACUACUAUGAUAAAAGGUCUACAUGCACAUAUCAAUUUAUAUCAUAUACAACAAAUGAGUUCAGAUUGGAUCGACUAAAAUAUUAAUUGAUUUCACAUCUUAGUCCUCUUCACUGUAUGGUGUAGGAUUUUCAUCUUCAUCAUGGUAUUGCCAGAUAGUCUUGUCCUCCUUCUCCUCAUCAGAAUUGAAUCCGUCCACAUUAGAUAGAACCUGCUGGCAAAUGGAAGUAACUUGAGCUGCAGGAAUGACAGUCCGCUCCUCCUCCUCAUCAGUAAUAGGCAUCAGAGCCUCCGAACCAUCACCAAUACCAUCAUUCAAGGUUUUUUCAAUUACAACAUCUUGAUAUGCAAGUCCCAUGCCACUAGGCAUUGUGUCCUGCUCAUUUUCAAUAAAGCUCCACAAGUGUUUGUGCUCAAAUUUUUGCACCACUCUCCAUGGGUCUUGUAGCAGGGUGUCUGGCAAGUAAAACACCUCUGUUGCUUGUUCAGCAAAAAUGUAGAGAUUACUUUUGUACUAGUACCUUCCAAUAUUGAUGAUUGUCAAGUACCUAUCCUUUUUAAUCCUUGGUUCCUUCUUGGUCCUUCCCAGAUCAUACCAAUCACAGUGGAAUGAUGCAGCGGUUUAAUUUAUGCCACGCCCUGCUGAGUUAUACCGUAGCUCAAUAAUUUCUUUUAGACAACCAUAAAACUCAAAUGGCUCACUGUUAUAAAAACCUGCAGCCAUAAUCCCACUGUUCUGCAUCUUUCGAUUUUCCUCUCGGGCAUGUGUGUGGUACCGGACACCGCCAAUAAGAUAUGCUGAAUAUUUUCUUCCUCGCUUGUAUGGUAAAUCUGAUAAUACAUAUAGAUCCUCGGAGAUCUCUCCUUCAGGCAUCUUUUCAAUCUGUACAACAAAACCAUAGUUUGAUGUAUAUUUUUAUAUAUAGGUCCUCGCCCGCUAAUAUAAGUUUGUUUUGAAAAAGUAGAAAACUUACAUGCGAUUUAAACCAUCGAGCGAAUUCUUUCCGAAUUAUACGGUCAAUAACCUGGUCCGACACACCUUCUGCUUCUAACUGAUCCCUGUAUAUUCUGCAAAAGCACAUCCAUCUGAAAAUUAGACCGAAAUAAUUGCGGUACAAUCAUUGCAUGAUGGAUUACCUACCCGAUAUAUGGCUCAACCUCGUCGCAAUUGUUUAGCACAUGCCAAACCAGCUUGUCGUAAUCCAAAUGAAGGAAUGAAGUCUUCGCUGCUCCAAUUACAUUAACAUUUUGCAGGAAACAAGAUAAAUCGCCUUCUCGUAACAAAUCAGCAUUCUCCCUAUUCUUGCCCUCUUGAUUGAAUCGUGUGCCAACAUCAUCAUCCGCAAAGUACCUUGAGCAAAAUGUCAAGGCCUCAUUGGCAACAUAUGCUUCUGCAAUGGAUCCUUCAGGCCUAGCCAUGUUUCUCAUGGAACACUUCAAUGUGCAUAGCCUUCUUUGGACGGGAUACAUCCAUCCAUAUUGUACUGCUUCCUUAGGCAAAUGGACAGCCAAGUGCACCAUAACAUUAAAGAAGAUAGGAGGGAAAAUUUUCUCAAGCUUGCACAAAAUUAUUGGGAUAUCUGUUUUCAGUUUAUUCAAAACAUCCAACUUCAGAGUUUUGCAACAUAGUUGUCGAAAGAAGUUUCCUAAUUCUAAAGCAACUGAGUAUGUCUCUUUAUCCAUUAAACCUCGAAGGGAAGUAGACAAAAUCCUUUGGAGUAUGAUAUGACCAUCAUGAGUUUUUCAGUCUUUGGAGUUUGCAUCCAUCAGCGACAAUACAUCUUGAGAAGUUAGAAGCAUAUCCAUCUAGGAACUUCACCUGACUUAUAAAAUCACAGACCACCUUCUGUUUCUUUUUAGCCAUUGUAUAUGGAGCUUCUAGCAUUUUGCAUGACUCCCCUUCCAUAGUAUUUAGCAUGUGUAGAUGUGGUCUAAUGCCCAUCUCUUCCGAAUCAACCCUAGCAUUGAUUGUGUCCUUUGUCUUCCCAGCAAUUUAAAGCAAUGUUCCAAUAAGGUUUUCGCAUAUGUUUUACUCAAUGUGCAUGACAUCAAGAUCAUGUGGCAGCUUCAGAGUUGUCCAAUAUGGCAAGUCAAACAAACAAACCCUUCAGCUCCAACAUUGUUUGGGUUCCCGCUUCCUUUUCUGACCCUGAGCAGGCUUUCCUAGUUUAACGUCUUUAACCUUCUCCAGUUGCUGCUGAAGCUCCUUAGUAGUAAAUUGCUUUGGUCUCUCUCGAUUUUUAGUAUUACCAUCAAACUCUGCUUUCUUUCUUCUCCAUGGAUGGUCAGUUGGAAGGAAACGAAGGUGGCCAAUAUAACAUAUCUUGUUCUUCAAUCUCCUUGAGCAAGGAUUCUUGUCACAACGCACACAGGCAUAAUAACCUUUUGUGACUCACCUCGCCCAUGUGCCCAGUGUUGGAUAAUCAUGUAUGCUCCAAACAACCGCAGCAUGCAGUUUAAAGGAUUGUUGACUACAAGCAUCAUAUGCAUCGACACUCUUCCAAAGGUCCAAUAGCUCAUCUACAAGAGGUUGCAAGAAGACAUAAAAAUCUUUUGAUAGAGAACUCAGCCCAGGGAUCAAUAAUGUCAUCAUGAAGUUUGAUUCUUCCAUGCAUACCCAUGGUGGCAUGUUAUACGGCACAACACAUACUAGACACAUACUAUAUAAGUUGGGCAUGUUGCCAAAUAGAUUGAAAUCAUCGAUUGCAAGGCCAAGUCUAAUGUUCCUAGCAUCUUUUGCAAAUUCUGACCAAUUUUUAUCGAAGUCUUUCCAUGCCUCACCAUUAGCUGGAUGGUUAAGCUCAAUGUCCACUGGUUGUCGCUUCAACUCGUACCAUUGUGCAUCCUUGUGGUUUUUAUGAAAGAAACAUCCUUUUCAGCCUUGAAACCAACAGAAAAUGCCUCAAUACCUUCUAAGGAACAUGCUUCUUGUUGUCUGCAUCUUUCCAUCUUGAAUCCACUUCACAACACAUUGGGCACACAUCAUGUUAGGCUAGCGUCUUGCGAAACAAUACAUAGUUAUUCUUGCAAACAUGGAUAGAUUCAUAGACGAGUUCUAUGGCACGUAUGUACUUCGUUGCAUCAUUGUAAGAUGUCGGAACACAUGCUCUAAUGAAAGCAAGGGAUACCACCUUCAAAAUCACAUUGAAUACGACAUUGUUGAUCCGAUAGAGAGACUUGAUAUGAAGUAGCUUCACAACAAAUGCAAAUUGUGUAUAUUUAGAUCCUAGUGACACCUUACAAUUUAUAUGUUCCUUUAUAAAUUCUAACAUUUUCCCUCCACGCUCUUUAGCGUGGCACAUAUCGGCUAUCAUUUCAGGAAGUCCAUUUUCAGUGCCUUCAUCCUCCUCCAUACCCGAUAUGUGUUCGUUUUCCUGAAACAUUUCCUGAUCACCAUCAUCUUGCAGAACUGCAUUAUCCACAACACCCUCAUCCGACAGAAUUGCAAUUUCCUCAACCCCAUCAUCCUGCAGAAUUGCAUUUUUUUGAACCUCAUUAUUUUGCAGAUUUGCAUUUUCCUGAACCCUAUCCUCGAAUAUUUCUCCAUGAUGGAUUCACCUAGUGUAGGUGCUUGCCAUCCCAGUCAAAUGUAAGUGUAGGUUCACCUCAUCUAUAGUACAUCUAGACUAAUUCAGGCAUCCACGACACAGGCAUAGAAUUUGUUCAUCAUCAAAGUAUCUACUGUUAACAGAUUCCAUGAAAUCAUUGACCCCUUUCUCAUGCUCGGGGGUAAAUAGUCCACAAUUGGGUAUCUAAUGUCUAUCCAUGUAGGAAAUUUUGGCGAAUUCAACUCAAAAUUACUGAUCAGAUUGAAAGACCUCAAUGCGAAAUGAAAUUUUGGUGAAUUCAACUCAAAAUUACUAACAAGAUUGACGCGUCGCAGCAGGAAGCACCAGAUUUGUGCUGCCGUAGGACUACGCCACCGCGGGGACGCGCAGAUCUCCGCCAGAGUGCUCCGUCCUGGCCGCCUUCUCUCUGUUCUUCUUCUUUCCCUAUCGCGGGAGCACGAUAGCAGGUAAACUAUUUUUUGAUUGCAGCACGGGCUUUUCUGUCGCCAACUACCACACUCACCUAAAACUUACCUUACAUGUGGGACCCGGUCGCAGUCUAGACUUCCUAUUCGAUCGGUAACUGGUUCGACCCACGAGAGGAGCAUAUUUUCUAUUUUAUUUUACCAUCCUAUUUAUCAGCUUAAACUUACAUGUGGGACCCUCAUUGGUUUAUGAUAUUUUCGCAGAGCUUAUAUCGUCACAAAACUACUAUGUAACAGCAAGUGGCGAUCUCUUUUUUGCUAUAGUGGUAACGUUUAUGACAUUCCGUAACUUUGUCACUAAAUUUACUUGGAUGUGAAACUUUAUAAUAUUUUCAGCCAGAAAUGUCAUAGAUCUAUGAUGAGAACAAAUGUGUCAUAAAAUUUCCAUCAUAGAUCAAGACAUUUCUUAUAGUGAGAAACAAAUGGAAGCAACAAGUCGAUUACUUCUGGCCAGACUAAACAACACAAGGGGGAUGACCAAUGGGAUAGCGAAACCAUGACACAAGACGAGCAGCAGUAGGAGGAACCAGAAGCUAAACAUCUUCCCAACCCAGAUCAUCCACUUGUUCCAAAGAUCAAUAGCCACAAGACAAUUGCAGUCUACAUGCCAAAGUCUUCGGAGGAGACCAUCCAGAUCAACCAGGAUAUACUUCUUGGGGAAGAUUCUUCACAAGAUAUUGCGGUAGAGGACACGAUGUUAACAGUGGAAACUCAAAUCUUAGUGGAGCUAGAAAACACGCCUAAUAAAUCUCUAGCACCACAACAAGAAGAGGCAAGCCGCAUUGACUUCAACAAAAUCCUGGUGCAUGAGGUCGAUAGGGCAGUCUAGAUGGAUAAAGACAAAUGCCAAUUCUGAAUGUUGUUCCUACUUAAGGCAACAACCCGGUCAAAAAUCUUGAGAACGGUCACCUUCCCAACGCAAGUGAGGGGGAAUCAUUCCUGAAGGAAGACCCAGAGAGCUACAACAGUAGGGGGGAGGAGGAGGAUGAGGUGUGGCUGACUUCGACAUUUGUGGCCAGGAGGAAAAGGAACAUGAAGUACAACCUAGUGGUGGUGGCGAGGAAGAACACUCGGACCUUGGGUGUGGAGCGGGACAGGACAACUUACUCCAGGGGGUCUCAAUAGUUCAGGUAUAAAUUAUAUUCUUGAUAAUACUUUGCUAUUUUAAACACCAUUGAUGAUGAAGAAUUAGAGAAUAUUGCACUAGAUUGUGAUAUCAUUUUGGGAGAUAAUGAGGAGGGUGCUAAAACUGUGCUAAGUGCUAUGAAACUGGAAGAACAGGCCCGAGCUGCUAUUGCCGAGGCCAACUAUAAAGCCAUGAGCGAAGAUAAGCUCCAUCUCUCGCAUAUUUUAGAGGGGGAGAAUUUGGACUUAUCCUAUAUCUCUAAUAGUCAUAGAGGAUUUGCGAUGAAAAAGAAGGUCACUAGAGGGACAAGGGGAUAAACUAAGUAGGGAACUCAAAAGGAUCGGUUAUAAAUCAGGAUCCUUCUCUGGAAUAUUAGGGGCUAGGUAAACUUUCGAGAUUUAGGCAUUUGAAGGACCUAAUCAUUUGAGAGAGGCUGGAUGUAAUAGGGAUUCAAGAAAUGAUCAAACAAAAUUUUUUUGACUUCAAACUUCAGGGCUUAGCACAAGGUGCUCCCUUCAGCUGGGGUUGGAUCCUUGCCAGGGGUCGCUUCGGGGGUAUCUUGGUAGGGGUGUGGGAGGACAUUCUAGAAAUCGAGGGGGGAUAAGGGGGAAUUCUUUGCAGAGACUCAACUUAGAAAUAGGCUAUCUAACUUUAGUUGGUCAUUGUUGGUGGUGUAUGGGCCUACGGACCAUGAUUACUCUCCUAAUUUCCUGGAGGAAUUAGCUCUCAAAUGCCAGGGGAAGGAUCUGUUGUACGUUAUUGGAGGGGAUUUUAACUUAGUCAGGAAGCUUCAAGACAAAAGCCCAGGGUAGGGAGUCCCGAGGCUUAUGAACAUGUUUAACUCCUUCAUAGGACAGUUGGGCCUUUGAGAACUUAAAAGAGUGGGGGCGAGGUCCACCUGGACGAAUAAACAACAAAACCCAGUAUGAGCAACAUAGAUAGAAUCUUGAUGAUGACAGACUAGGAAUAGAAGUUCCCGAUGGCAAUCCUGACUAGCCUAACCAGAGUAGGGUCGGAUCACUACCCUCUCCUACUUGACAUGGGGGAGAGAAGAGAUGGGGGGCACAAUCAUAGACAAUUCUACUAUGAUAGACAAUGGAUGAAACAGAUAAAUUUCAAGGCUCUGGUGGAGGUUAAAUGGAUGGCAGGAAGAGGGAGAUGUCCAGACCUUGCAUACUCUCUGGAUAUCUGGCACGGCCAAAUUUUGCUUCUAAGGCAAUUUCUCAAAGGAUGGGGUGCCAACAUUAGGUGGGAGUAUAGGAGGAAACAGGAGGACUUACUAAAAGGAAUCUAAAGGAUCAACAAUAGAAAUCCAGAUGGUAUAGAGUCAACACAACAGGAAGAAAGGGGUAGAUUAGAAGCAAGGCUGGAAGAAAUCAUAACGGAGGAGGAACAAUACUGGCAAAAGAGGGGGGAGGUGGAUUCUGGAAGGAGACAACAACACUGGAUUCUUUCACUUAACAGCAAAUGGGAGAAGAAGGAAGAAAUCCAUCCUAUCUCUUGAUCAUGAAGGGGCAGAGAUAACUGAUCAACAACAAAUUUAGAGGGUUAUAUAUGAUUUCUACAAAAAGCUUUUCGGGAGAUAAGAGGGUGGAAAUGUUAGCCUAAGUACGAAAGCAUGGUCGAACGAAUGGAGACUGAACUCACUAGACAAUGAGGCACUGACUAAACCCUUCUCUGAAGAAGAGGUUAAGAAGGUGGUCUUUGAAUGAAGGAGGAUUCAGCUCUGGGCCCCAACGGGUUCAGCGUUGCAUUUUACAAGAAUUUCUAGGUUCUAGUCAAAAAGGAAUUAACGCAGAUGAUAAAUGAUUUCUACAUGGGGAGAUUGGACAUUGCAAGGUUGAAGUAUGGGAUCAUCACGCUGAUUCCGAAAGUGGGAGAUGUGAAUAACGUGAAGCAAUAUAGGCCGAUUUGGCUCCUCAAUGUAAGUUUCAAAAUUUUCACAAGACUGCUCAUGACAAGGUUGACGAGCCUCGCAAACAAGCUGGUAGGGAAAUGCCAAUCUGCAUUCAUCAAGGGGAGAUAUAUACUGGACAGUGCAGUACUUCUUCAUGAGACAAUGCACGAGCUAAGGAGGAAGACACAAAAAGGGGUGAUCAUGAAGAUAGACUUCGAAGAGGCCUACGACAGCAUCAACUGGACCUUUGUGGAACAGGUGUUGAACAGGAAAGGGGUUGACCCUUAGGCCAUCCAAUUGAUCGUGAGCACAGUGAGGGGGGUAGGGUUUGCAUAAACAUUAAUGGGGAGAAUGGACCGUAUUUCAAAACCUACAGGGGUUUGAGGUAGAGAGAUCCGUUGUCCCCCCUACUCUUUAAUCUAGCCACUGAUGCAUCAGACUAUAUCCUAAACAAAGCUAAACAUAGAGGACAUAUUAAGGGGGUGGUCCCACAUCUGAUCCUGGGAGGUCUUACCCACAUCCAGUAUGCGGAUGACAUGAUAAUUCUAAUGGACUAUAAUGAUUCUACAAUAACCAACAUGAAAUUUCUCAUAUACGGUUUUGAGUGGAUGUCAGGCCUCAAAAUCAAUUACCAUAAAAGUGAGGUGCUGGUUUUUGGUGCACCCGAAGAAGAACAAUCCAGAAUAGCAGACAUGCUUAAUUGUAAGGUGGGGGUCUUCCCAUGUCUUAUCUGGGUAUUCCCAUUAGUGUCAGAAAUCUGAAUACAUAGGCUUUUGGUGGCAUGGUUAACAAAAUAAGGAAUAGAUUACAACCAUGGAGGGGGAGGAUGCUAACCUCUAGGGGAAGGCUUGUUCUAACCAAUUCGUCUCUUAGUAGCAUGCCAACUUACCUCAUGGGAAUGUUCUCUUACCUGAAGGCAUCCAUCAACAAAUGGACAGAUCAAGGCGAAAUUCUUGUGGAGGGGGGCUGAGGAUAAAUUUAGAUAUCAUAUGGUCAAAUGGGAAAAUGUUUGUGUUCCCAAGGACUUUGGGGGGUAGGAAUAAUGACCACUAGGACCCUGAAUGAAGCCUUGCUUUUAAAAUGGAUAUGGAGAAUUUAUAAUUCUAGGGAGGGAUAUGUGAUGUUCCUUUCUAAGAGUAAAGUACACGAGGAAUUCACCCUUUACUUAGGGAUGUGGCGUGGGUGGAUCGCAAUUUUGGAAAUGACUCCAUAAGGUUAAACACAAAUUCUCCUUUGGAGCCACCUUCCAAGUCAAUAAUGGGGAGGCCGUGAGAUUUUGUAAAAACACUUGGAGAGGUGACAUUCCCUUGAAACUUGAAUUCCUGAACCUAUACACUUGUUGCAGGGACCAAGACGUCCUGAUCAGUAAAAGCUGGAGAUAGGAGGAAUGGGUAGUAGAUUUUAGAUGGCCUUUUGGACCAAGGGAGGUUAGAGAAUGGGACCAGCUUCUAGCCAAAUUAGAUCCAGUUCGCCUGAAUGACCAAAAGGACAAAGCAGUGUGGAAGCUGGAAAGCAAAGGGCAGUACACUACUAGAUUGAUGUACAGGUUUCUUACUUUUAGGGGUGUAAACGACAGGAGAGCGGCCAAGCUGUGGAAGAACAAACUACCCAUGAAAAUAAGGGUCUUCCUUCGGCAAACCUUCCAUAACAGGCUACCCACAGGGCUUGCGCUGAAGAGCAAAAUGUACCAAUUGCCCACUCUGUGGGGUGCCGGAAAACAUUGACCACAUUUUCUUCCAAUGUGUCCUAGCUAAAUUUAUCUAGGUAUGCUUCGAAGAAGCUCUCAGCUGGGAAGAUGCUCCUGACAGUCUGCAGGAGGUCAUGGGGGUUUCGCUUAAACUGCGGGGCACUAACUAUGACAUGAAACUUUUUUCCUUUGCAAUUAUCUUGUGGGUGCUUUGGAACCAAAGAAACAAAAUGAGAAUAGAGCUCAAAUUCCCAAAAUCACGGUGUGACGUUAUCUAUACUAUCUCUUCUAAGGGGGUGUUUUCUUCCGGUGACUUAUUUUUAGCACGUGUCACAUCGAAUGUUUAGAUACUAAUUAGGAGUAUUAAACGUAGACUAUUUACAAAACCAAUUACAUAAGUGGAGGCUAAACGGCGAGACGAAUCUAUUAAGCCUAAUUAAGCCUAAUUAAUCCAUCAUUAGCAAAUAUUUACUGUAGCAACACAUUGUCAAAUUAUGGACUAAUUAGGCUUAAUAGAUUUGUCUCGCCGUUUAGCCGCGUCUUAUGUAAUGGGUUUUGUAAAUAGUCUACGUUUAAUACUCCUAAUUAGUAUCUAAACAUUCGAUACGACGGGUGCUACAAAUAAGUCAGUGGAAGAAAAUAGGACCUUACUUGCAGAAGUGGAGGAUCCUGCUACUGGAUUCUGACAGAAGUAACCUGGAUAGCCUGCGUGACCAAAUGACCACCUGGUUGAGAGGCUACCUGACGAGGGCGCGAAAUCAAGAGCCGGCGGAGGACUUCAUUUAGUUUUUGUAUUGUCAGGUUGUAUAUAAUACCUUUUAUUCUAUCAGCUUGGGUAGCUUUUCAAAGCUGUACGUGAUCUCUAUGGUUCGCUGUCAACCUCAGCAAGUCUGUGUCCAAACAUUUAUGGCUUUCUAUAUAAAGCAGGAUGAGCUCUGAUUUUUUUAAAAAAAUUAUGUCCCUCUUGUCCGUUUGUUUUUUCUCUUUAAAUUAAAGAUUGCAUGUUAGGGAUCAAAUGCUCAACCGUUUCCCGUUGUAACAUAUGGGCAAAUUUGCUAGUAUAAUUUAAAAAUGAACGGAGUAUUGAAAAUCAUAUUAUGGAGGUAGUUAAGAAGAUGCCAAUCAUAUUAUGGACAUCAAGUGGUUGUAAGACAACCCUUCCUAUCGAGUCAACCAAUGGAUCUGCACAUGAACUAAACGUACCUCAAUCAAUUGGUAAUGUUUCUUCUAGUAAAACAUGCAACUCGGAUUCAACUCCUCGAUUCGGUACAAUUGCUUAUACUUUUUUUAUUUAUUUCAGAAUUUAACCAAUAUUAUUCUUUUCAUGGUAGGCGACAUGCGCGUCGAUAAUGAAACUCAUAUGUUGACUUUAUCAAUCUUAAGAUUUAUUGGCCAUCCGUCGAAGGUGCUCAUAGUCAAAGAGUAGAGCUGCAUGUGUAUAUUUAUCGGAGUAAGUGUAUAUGCGUGUGUGUGAGUGUUUCGCAUAUAUGAUGUGUUCCGUAAAAAGAUGUUCCAUAGCAGUAGUAUUGUGUGUGUAUUAAUGGGGUGUUUGGGAGACAGGGCUAAACUUUAGCCCUGUCACAUCGGAUAUUCGGAUACUAAUUAGGAGGACUAAACAUGAGCUAAUUACAAAACUAAUAGCAGAACCCCUAGGCUAAAUCGCGAGACGAAUCUAUUAAGCCUAAUUAAUCCAUCAUUAGCGAAUGGUUAGUGUAGCACCACAUUGUCAAAUCAUGAACUAAUUAGGCUUAAUAGAUUCUUCUCGCGAUUUAGCCUAGGAGUUGCGCAAUUAGUUUUGUAAUUAUCCUAUAUUUAAUACUCCUAAUUAGUGUCAAACAUCCGAUGUAACAGGGACUAAAGUUUAGCCUUGUCUCCCAAACACCCCCUGAGAACUAAAAAGCCGUUGGUUUGGAGUGCUGGGAGGUUCUUUUCAUUGAAUCUUAAGGCAACUUUAUUGGUAGUUCAGCUCUGGUGGUUUUUUAACAUUUUUUAAUGAAAAUCAUGCAAUAAUAACAGUUCAGAUUGCGGCAGUUUGCAAUCGUACUUUGUUUACGCAAUAAUGCAAUUAUAAAUUGGAUUUAUUUCUAAAAAUUGCAUCGGAGAAAUCCCAGCGCAUUAUUUUCAAAGGAAAAAAAAAAAGAAAUCCCGCACAUGAUGUCUAAUAUAACAAUUGAGCACAACCUGAGCAAGAUCUGUGCAUCCUAAUAACUGCUUAGCAAAUAAACUUUUUUUACGCUAAACAAGAUCUGUGCAUCGUACUAACUGCUUAGCAAAUAAACUUUUUUACGUUAAACAAGAUGGACUAGCAAAUAAACUUUUUUACGCCAAACAAGAUUAGCUAAGGAGAAGUGGACUCGGUGGAGUUCCAAGCACUCCAACACUGAGGUAGGAGGAGGAGGAACUCCAACCUGCGUCCCACCAGCUGGGCUCAACGGACGCGGCCCGGCCCAUGGUCUAAUAGAAAAUACUUAACUUCAAACAAAAGGCAAUAUAUUCCACCUCAAAAAAUCAAAAUACUAGCACUUUAUUAAUUAUUUAAAUAUUUCAUUCUAGACCCUCCGGCUCCGGGGGUAAAGAAAAAAAGAAAAAAAAAUCGGAGCUCCCCCUCGUGUCCUCUUCCUCUCCUUCACUUCUUCCUUCCAACCUCCCCUGCUCGCGCGUGACCUGGGCCGCCGCCGCCUCCAUCCAACCCUCCCGCUGCCGCUUCAACCGCGCCGCCACCGCCGCCGCCUAAUCUUGCCUUCGCCUCCGCGCGGCUCGGAGCCUCGUUCCCGUGGGAAUCGUCCGUCCGCCCCGACCGCCCAAUCCCCCCAAACCUCCGCCCGCGUGGGCGCUUCUUCCUCGGGAUCUCGUCGGUCCGGGCGGCGCAGGGCUAGGGAUUCGGGCCCAUGGCGUGGCGGCGCGUCCUGACCCAGGUGCGAGUCCUGAUCUUUUCCUCGUUCCCGCGCUUUAUUGUUGUACGGGGAUGCGGGCUGGGCUCAAACCUUCGAUCUUGGGGUGGGCGGGAUUGGAGGCGACGGCGUCUUCUGGGUCUCCGGCGAUAUGAAGAACGUGUGCAUCUAUCUGGUUGUUAUACGUAGCUAUCUUGGAACUGCCUCAGUGGAUGUCUCUGCUAUUGAAACAUACAGGCGAUAAGGCUACUGCUUUUGGACAAACAGUGAUCUAGUUUAAGUUUUGUAUGCUUACUAUUUUCGGUUAGUGAUAGAAAGAGUCGUUUCCUUUCAGUAAAUACUGGAGAUUAUGUUAUAUGGCCUGCCAUCAGAUUGGUGUGGUAACCUGUAUGAGAAUUCACAAGAGAUGCCAGAUUUAAGUCCAAAUGUUGUCUAUUAUGUUGUAGGUAGCUUGUGUUUUGUGAAGCUAAUUUUGAGAAUGGAAUAGUAAGAACUAAAAAAUUAUAGCAUCUUAGUUUGUUUAAUAUUGCGAUCUGCUGGAACAAGUAUUACUUGCAAUGGAAUAACUUACUCAGCUGCAUUGUUGUAUUCUAUCCUUGUUGAUGUAUGUAUAUGUUUUAAUGUUGCUUACUUGAAUUAAUCCAGGUUUGUCUCUGUGUUUAUGUGUUUUAUUGUUUGUUUUGUUACAGAUCGCAAAGCAUCGACCCACAAAAGCAAUCUACAAUGAGCUAGUUGCUUCCUCCCCUUUAGGCACUCUUAGAACCGAAGUCACUGCAGGUAUACUGAGUUUUCCAUAUCAACUGCUAGCCCUUUCACUUUCACUAUUACUUUAUUAGUACGUUGCAGCCUAAUUGUGUGGCUUUUACAACUUUCUGAAGUCACCCAUGCUCAAAUAUACGAGCUUCCAUAUCAUUUGUCAUUCAACUUUUCACGUAGUAAACAUAUCUUUGUCCUUUAUCUUUUCCUUUUUAUGAACUAAUCACUAAAGCUAAUGGCUGUCAUGGAUAAUACUUCUUUCUUUAAUUCAUGUCAUUGCUGCCAUUUCUGUGUAUUACUAAAAUGUUUUUCUGCUACUAGUUUGAUAUUCAUUAUUUUGUUUGUUGCUCAUCACAGGUGCCAGAAUUAGAAACUUACAAGAGAGGAAUCAGUCAAGCUAUAUUGGUAGCCUUGCACGCCGUGUGCGGGACCUAGAUGCACCAAGCGAAACUUCUCUGCUUAAAGAGAUUUACAGAAGUGACCCAGAGCGUGUCAUACAAAUAUUUGAAAGUCAACCUUCGCUCCAUUCCAAUCCUGCAGCACUUUCGGAGUAUGUGAAAGCUCUUGUAAGGGUUGAUAGGCUGGAUGAGAGCACCUUGCUUAAAACAUUACAGAGAGGUAACGAAGUUCUCAAACAUUUUAUCUGUAUCAUGAUUGUUAAUUGUUAAGCCUUGCAUUCUGCUGUGUUGUGUGUUCAGUGCUGCUGCUGCUUUUAUUUUCUAAUUCAAAGGUGAAUAAACUAGCAUACUUGAAACACAUAUGUAUAGUGGUUGCCUUGUUAUAUUAUGGAUACAUAGGCCUGUUUGGAACAGCUUAAACUUACGGAAAAGCCAGCUUUUGGUCAGCUGCCCACAUAAGUUACUUUUUGGGGAGGAGGGCAGCACCGGUGGUGGGAUUUUGGGGCAGAGGGCAGCGCCAGCACUCAGGCAAAGAGAGCUGGGGGUGCGGGUGGAGGAGCGCGAGGCAGCACCAGGCUUGAGCGGGCGGAGCUACCGACGUGGGUGAAGGAGCUCGGGGCGGCUCUGGCACCCAGUGGAAGGGGCUGCGCACAGGCGGAGGAGCUCAGGCGGCGCGGGGGUCCGGUGGAGGGAGCUGGCAGCGGGCGGAGGAGCUCAGGUGGCAGCGCCGGGGUCCGAUGGAGUGAGCUGGCAGCAAGCAGAGGAGCUCAGGCGGCAGCGCCAGGGUCCGAUGGAGUGAGCUGGCAGUGAGCAGAGGAGCUCAGGCGGCGGCAGGCCGGUGUCCGGUGAAGGGAGCUGCCAGCGGCGCUGAGCUCGGGCGUAUGGAGUUGCUGGGGCGGGCGGAGGAGCUUGAGCGGCGCUGAGCGGACAAUGGAGGGAGCCGCUGUCCCAGAGCGAAAGAUGGCGGAGGGAAGCGUCGGCGAGGGAGGCACAGGCUGGAGCCCGGGGCAGGCGCGGAAGAAAAGGCCAGAGAAGCUGCUCGCAGCCCGCUGCCCAGGAAAGCACUCUUGCAGUUCAUUUGUGAGAAGCGCUUGUGGAAUAAGCAGCUCAGAAGUUUAUUGUUUGGCUGCCUUUGAGCUUAUUUUUUAUGGGAAGCUGCUCAAUAAGCAGUUCCAAACAGGGCCAUAGUGUCCUGCUCUUUAACAAGCUAGUGUUCUGUUUCUAGUCUUGUGAAGAAAAAAAUCAUAGCAGUUAGAUGUAGGUAAUCUGUAAGAAAGCUUAUGCUGUACUUUAGUUCAUUUUAGUUCUGAUUUACUUUAAGGUGCAGUUUUUAUAUGUAAUAUAAGCAUUCCUAGUCAUUGAGUUUUAUUUCAAUGAGAAUUGUGAGAGUAAUGAUAAGCUCGAGCUACUUAUUGCUUUAUUACAUGUUAUAUGUGGUCAAAAACAGUUUAGUUUUAGAGUCUGAAUUAAGAUUCAGGGAAACCCGUUCCUCUGUCAUAAUACUCUCUUUUUGUACCAUUGGCUAAACUUAUUUGAAUCUUCUGUAUAAAUGGGUCUAUAGCUAGACUUCCUCUAAUGAAGCCUGUGCAGCGUCAGUUAGUAAUGGCUGACCUUUGUUUAACUUAACUUGCACUUAUGAAUUAUCAAUACAGGUGUUGCUGCUUCAACAAGGGGGGAAGAAAGCUUUGGCAGCAUUCCAGCAUUAAUUGGUGCUGGUCAAGCGACAAAAGAUGGAGUUCUUGGCACUGCAAAUGCACCUAUUCACAUGGUUACAGCAGAAACAGGUCAAUUUAAAGAUCAGCUUUGGCGUACCUUCCGAAGCAUUGCACUAACUUUCCUUCUUAUUUCGGGCAUCGGGGCUCUCAUCGAGGAUAGAGGAAUCAGCAAAGGUUUGAUUUUGUGAAAGAUGUGUGUUAUUUUCUGAAUGGAACUUCAUCCCAGUAACUAUUUAUGAAAUGAAUGUAGGCCUUGGUCUGAAUGAAGAGGUCCAACCAAGCAUAGAGUCUAAUACGAAGUUCAGUGAUGUAAAGGGUGUUGAUGAAGCCAAAUCUGAACUUGAGGAAAUAGUUCAUUAUCUUCGAGAUCCCAAGGUAAAUAAAUCGCUGGUCAUGAAAAAGGGGUAUAGUAUCCAGUGCUUAGAUGUAUAGUUUCCUCAAAUCAAACAAUGAUACUUGGAGAUAUUUUUACGACACUUGGUUGUGUUUGUAUGUUAUAUACCGUUAGUAUUGAGGAGGGUUCUACCGCCUUGGUAGUAUGUAACAGCAUUCUCCAUGCCAUAAUGUGAAACUACCAUGCAAUACUUUCAUUUUUUUUUAAUCUCUCUUUUCUUGAGUCUUGAGUUGUCUUGGGACUAAUUCAUCAACCAAUAUCUUUUGUUGGCACAAUAAUGGCAAAUGUCAGUCCAUAGACUGUUUGGUCUUUGUCAAGGGGUUCCUCCAGGCAUUUGUGACAUUGGUCGUUUUGUCAACUGAAUAGACUAACUCGAAGUUGCCAUUAAUCAGUUUAUCGUUGUUUUACCCUGCUUUGGUAAUGCUGUGGAUGCAUGCUUUUUCCAUGUUGAUUGAUAGUUUGUGAGUUACCUCCAUUUUUUCUAUAUUUGUGUUCUGAGUGUUAAGCUCAUCUUUUCUUUGAAAACACAUGAAGUUAUCUUGGGGUCUUUUUUUCAUAUGUUUUUAUAUGAUGUUCACAAACUGUCAACUCGUUUUCAGCGCUUCACACGUCUUGGUGGAAAACUUCCGAAAGGUGUCUUGCUUGUUGGCCCUCCCGGCACUGGCAAAACCAUGCUAGCAAGGGCUAUUGCUGGUGAAGCUGGUGUUCCUUUCUUCUCAUGCAGCGGAAGUGAGUUUGAGGAGAUGUUUGUGGGAGUUGGAGCUCGAAGAGUGCGCGACCUUUUUGCUGCAGCAAAAAAGCGAUCUCCUUGUAUAAUAUUCAUUGAUGAAAUUGAUGCAAUUGGUGGGAGCAGGAAUCCUAAGGAUCAACAAUAUAUGAAGAUGACCUUGAAUCAGUUGCUUGUCGAGUUAGAUGGCUUUAAGCAGAACGAGGGGAUAAUUGUCAUUGCUGCAACCAACUUCCCUGAAUCACUAGAUAAGGCCCUAGUCAGACCUGGGCGUUUUGACCGUCAUAUUGUUGUUCCCAACCCAGAUGUUGAGGGCCGGCGGCAAAUUCUAGAUUCCCACAUGUCAAAGGUGGUUCUUGAGAACUCCUAUCUAUGUGCUAUCCAGAUCAAAAUGUUUUCUCUUACCCUUUUGUUGGUUUAUUGCAGGUCUUGAAGGGUGAUGAUGUGGACUUGAUGAUCAUUGCCAGGGGAACACCGGGAUUCUCUGGUGCUGACCUUGCUAACUUGGUAAAUGUUGCUGCUCUCAAGGCUGCCAUGGAUGGUGCAAAAGCUGUCACAAUGAAUGAUCUUGAAUAUGCAAAGGACCGAAUCAUGAUGGGUAGUGAGCGUAAGUCAGCAGUUAUUUCUGAUGAAUGCAGAAAGUUGACGGCAUAUCAUGAAGGAGGGCAUGCCCUUGUUGCCAUCCACACAGACGGAGCUCACCCUGUCCACAAAGCUACCAUAGUACCCAGGGGGAUGGCCCUAGGAAUGGUGGCCCAACUCCCUGAAAAAGAUGAGACUAGUGUGUCAAGGAAACAGAUGCUGGCAAACUUGGAUGUCUGCAUGGGAGGGCGUGUGGCAGAGGAGCUUAUAUUUGGAGAUACUGAAGUGACAUCUGGUGCGUCAUCUGACUUCCAGCAAGCAACUGCAACGGCAAGAGCUAUGGUUACUAAAUAUGGCAUGAGCAAGCAAGUCGGCCUUGUCUCUUACAACUACGAAGAUGAUGGAAAGAGCAUGAGCUCAGAAACAAGACUUUUGAUUGAGCAGGAGGUGAAGAAUUUCUUGGAGAAUGCAUACAAUAAUGCAAAGACUAUUCUUACGAAACACAAUAAGGAGCUCCAUGCUCUAGCCAACGCACUUCUUGAACAUGAGACCCUCACUGGAGCCCAGAUAAAGAACAUAUUGGCCCAGGUAAAUAACAAGCAGCAACAGGAGCAUGCUAUUGAAGCACCACAGAAGACCCCAGCCGCACCAGCUUCCCCUGCAUCACCAGCUGCAUCAGCUGCUGCGGCAGCAGCUGCAGCUGCUGCAGCUGCACAGCAGGCGGCAGCCAAAGCCAAGGGGGUGGCUGGUAUCGGAUCUUAGUGCAUGGAGCACCCACCAGUUUGCAUUGUGUAUAUUUCACCAAACUAGUAAGAUGUUCCAGCAAUUGACGAUCAAGAGGAUCAUCAGGAUAUGCUAAACUGCUGCAGCAAUAGAAAAUACUGAUUGUGUGUAAGCUACUGUUCAUGUGCCUCGAGGGCAAAACAAGACUUUACACAUUGUAGUAGGCACAUUUAGCUGGUGCUCGAAUCAGUUUUGUACCCACAUCCAAAAUGAUUUCUGUUGUUUAGAACCUAAUAAUUGUUAGCCUUUGAUCCGCCUGCCUUAUGUACCUACAGAGCAUAAAUUGUAACACAUUCUGAAUAAGGUAUCCUGUGUGCUUGAAUACAAAUGUGGUAACUGGUAGCUGAUGAGUCAAUUUCUCAGCUUCUCUGAUGCUCAUUUGGUGUUGGUGUGCUGUACUCUUUCCGUCUCUUCCGCCUCAAAAUAAGUGUUCUUCUAACUUUUAAAUUUUAUCCCACAAAUAGUAUUCUUUUAGCUCAUAGUAAAUCUCAUGUAACUAAAGCAGCGCUCAAACUAAUUAAAAAAAAAGUGUAUGGAGAAGCGCUCUAAAAAAGUGUAUGGAGAAGCGCGUAGAGCCUAUCAAAUAAUUGAUGUUGUUCCUCUGGUUUCAACCAAUGCAUAUGCAUUUAUUCAAGAUUCAUAAAACUAAACAUUCAUCACGAUUUUCUAUCACAAUUAGUAUUAGUUAUUAGGAGCAACAUGAACAUUUCUCACAACUAUUAAUGUGUCCUAAAUUUUUUAAACGAACACUUAUUUUGGGACGGAGGGAGAAUGUCUAAUCAAGCUGACAAAAUCAUUUUGUGGCACUGGUGUUAGGGUAGUCCUACGCCCCCACUAACUAACAUAGUUUUCAUAGCAUUAAACAGCAUGGCACAUAAGUAAAAAACUAAUACGGCACGAGAGUUAAUGACAAAAGUAAAACGUUUUUCAUGCAAGGAAUCAUGUUUAAGUGAGAACAAAUUAUGAAAGGGAGAAAGGAGAAGGAAGAGGAGACGAUUGGAUGACUAUUUAUUGUAAAGAAACCACCCAUUGGUAAGGUAAUAUAAUUUCUAUGUCUAGUUUGUGUAUGAUGAUAUUAUGUAUUAUAUGAUAAGUAUAAAAACUAUUCGGUGGUGUUUGGGUUGAGAUUUCCUGUACUAAGCUUUGUUAUGAUCCACUGGACAACAACAGUUUUUGGAUCAUGUACAUGUGAUGCUGUUGGCUUGCACGUGCCGGCGUACUGUCAUCAAUCAAAAUUAUUCUUUUUACAAAUAAAAAAAUUAUUGUUCAUAGAACAGAGAAAAACUUUCUUUAGCGAUCUUUAGGAAUUCCCUAGGUUUCAACUUCGUCAUCUGUUACAAGUACAAAAUAAUGCCUCAAUGGUAGCUGAACAAACUACUGCUGCUGCGAGCUCUGCACUUUGGCUUUGAGCGCUUCAAUAACCGCCGAGAAGUCAUGGUCAGCGAAGCCGAGUGAUUUCGCAGCCUUGUACAGCUCGUUGGCCGCUGCAACAGUAGGAAUGGGCUGGGCCACCGAUUCUGCCAGGGCCAGCGCAAGCCUCAGAUCCUGCCAUGAGAUGGUUUGAUUAACAUCAGGAACUCAUUUAGGAUCAGGCCAGACCAGAUGCAAAUGAUACUGUUCGUCACUGCUGAAUGCAUGGACAAGCAAGUAGGUGCUACCUUCUGUUGAUGCUUCAGAGGAAAGGCAGUAGGAUAUGCAGCUUUAACCAUGGAUGGGCCCUUCAGGGAGAACAUGGGAGCACUGAUAGCACCCUGUGAAAUAACCUGAAAGGAUCAAAGUACACUAGAUCAGAUUCUUUCUCCAUAGAUGUUCACUAUUUACCACGGCAGCAUUAUGGACUUCAGAUUGUUUCUGUUUCAUUUUUACAAGAAUUACCUCAACAAGAGUAUUUGGGUCUAAGCCAACUUUUUCACUCAGGAGCAACCCUUCUGAGAAGGAAACCAUCAUGCUGCAGUAUUUGAACAAUUAGGACUAAGGGGUUAUCAUAUUAUUGCAAAGCAGAAGACUGUGAAUGAUUUUGUCACCUCCCCAUGACCAUGUUAACGACAAGCUUCAUCGCCGCACCAUUGCCUACAUCGCCGAGAUAAAAUCUUGACUGGUUUCAGAGUAAUGAAAAAAAGGAAUUAGCACAUUUUUCUCGACCAAACAUGUGAUAAUCGAUAAGGCGAUUGCUUCUUCUCAGAUAGGAGAUAUUAACCUUCCCCAUGACAUCAAGGAGGGGCGCCACUCUCUUGUACAAGGAUUCAUCACCUUGGUGCAACAGUGUUUACAGUUUCAGGUUACAGAAAAAGGGCAUUUUCGCCACUACCUAUCAUAGAUGCAGAAGUUUACCUGCAGUAAGAAAGAUGAGCAGCCCAUCUUCUGCCGGCUUUUUCGAGCCUGAAACUGGAGCCUACUGAAAAGUCAUCGAGUUAGCACUGGAGCAAAGUACAAGCAUUGCAAUUACACUUUUGGUGACACAAUGAGCCAAGCAGAUGAACAGUUUUAUUGUACAAGAUGAUCUGAGAAGGACAUAAAGAUGGCAGGGUCUCUGGGAGCCAGGGUCCAGGAACUACCUCAAGGAAAGAUGCCCCGGUACUUAUAAUACGUUCGCCGAUCAGCUUGGAUGUAGCGCCAUCAACCGUCGACACAUCAACAUACCUGCAGGUAUCAGGCAACCAGGAUAAGAGAUAAUGUUAUCAAGUUCUCCAUCCUCGUAUGCUCCAGGCAGGGUCUCAGAUGCUUUUCUGUUUUUCAGAGCAAGAUUGUUACCCUUUCCCUGGGGCCAACCCUUCUGCAGCUCCAUUGGCCCCGCAUGCAACCUCAGCCUGUUGUAUGCACACAUCGUCAGACACGAUUGGUCGUCAACAGACAUGAUUGGGUUUUGUCAUGUGAGUUUACAUGAACGCAGAAGUGUGCUGUCUGAAUUCUGAAUGAAGCAUAUUACCGCGCUUUGUGGAUCAGCAAGCAUCGCAAAUGUCACAUCACAAGAUGAAGCGACUUCAGCCGGUGAAGGCUCGUACCUGCAGGACGCAGCAUGACAGCAUCCUCAUCUAUCAAGCAAAGCACUUUGCGCAUCUUUCGUUUCAAUACAAUACUGCUUUUGUCGUGGGUCAACAUAGAUAACAACACCAUGCUGUCUAGUAGUCUAGUACCACUGACGGCAAAUUCAAAUUCAUCGUAACUGUAAAGGCCUUGGUUCCUUGAAUUGGAAUACUUGAGUGGAAAUUUAGCAUAGCAGAAUCUUUCCCAAACGGAAACAAAGAACAAUGCGAACCCCUGGAGAGGAAAUCUGAAUGAGAGAACAACAGCAGUCCAAUCGAGCGUUUGCAGGGUCCAGUUUCAGUUGUCAGGGAAUAUGGUUUGAAACCAUUUCAGAAAUUGCAUUCGUUGUUGUAGGUAGUACUAGUAGAAUGCAGUAAGAUUAAAUUGGAUGAAGCUGUGUUUUAUAUCGAAUACAGUACAUACUUGGCACCGAGGCUGAGGAGGGGAUCGCACUUGCUCUUGGUCCUGUUCCACACCGUAACGUCGCAGCUGCAGACGCAGAUGAGGUUGCAGGGAAACAGAGUUCGUUACAUGACAUACACCGGCCAUCGCUGCCGCUAGCCCUACGGAAGCAAUUUCAAAAGGAAAGGGAAAUCGACCAAUUACCCUGCCUUGAUGAGGUUGGACGCCAUGGGCGCGCCCAUGAUCCCGAGCCCCAGGAACCCCACCUUCCCCUGGAACCCCACUCCCCCACCGCCUGCCAAAAACCGCCAAGCGCAACCCGAUAAAAACAGUCCGCAGGAAACGAUGCGCCCAAACGCGUGCCGCAGCAGAGAGGAUAAUUAGGAGCUGGGGGAAGGAAUAAGCGCACCUUCCCCGGAGGAUGAGGACGCCGCCGCGCGGGAGGCGAGAAGGCGGCGGGGCAGCCGGCGCGAGGGAGGGAGCAGCGCGGGCGCCGCCGCCCUGGCGCAGAGGAACGCCGCCGCGGCCAUGGCUGCUGCUCCGGGGCGUGUGGGAUGUGACGAGAGGGGUAAGCCAGCCACGUGCGCCGGUCUCGGAGGGCGGCCGUUGGCGCUCUCUCUGGUGCCUGCUGCUCUCCGUCUCAGCCAGUCGGCCUCGGGGCAUGCGCGGGUGGUGGGCCGAGCCUGCUCCCGUGCCGGGCCCUCUUCCGGCGUUGUCUGACGACGGCGGCUCAGCUUUUUCCUGGGCCGCGGUGAUUAUUCCAUCCCCUCCUCGCGUGGCGUGUGGGGGCGUGGCGUACGUCGCGGCUGCAUCACCCCGCUGCUCUCCUCGGCUCGUCGGAUCCAUCCCUUCCCUGGCUGACGAUCCGAUGAUGGUGAUGACACGAGAAUACGAGAUGGAGAGCAUAUGAGAUGGAGAUGGGAUGAGAUGAAUCAUCCCAACCCUAUCAUGUGGCCGACUGCACCUCCUGUCUGCUGGCUGCUCGUCUCCUCACUGGUGUGUACCGUGCCGACUGGUACGGGCAUGUUCCGGCACCAGGAGUCCUGGAGGGAGGACAGCCCCACACAACGGCAUGCCCUCCGGUGCACUGCACGGGCGUACGUGUCGGGCAGCAAUAUACGCGUAUGCACACGCCUUUACUUGGAGCCGGGAGAAGUGAGGCUUAAGACAAAUCAUUGUGCCGAUGCAAAUCUGCGAGAUGCCUGCAUAAAGGUUUUUAGCGCUAGCUUUGCGAAGAUGCUCACGACCCGUCCCUUUAUUCCUCCCCCUUUCUACUACACACACUAUACUCCACGCAGCAAGCGCACCACAUGGCGUUUUUAUUCUUCGAUCCCUGCACGCGCUGCAGGUUAAUUUCUAUAUUAUCUUCUUCUCGUUCUGCUAGAACACAUGAACUGAGUCCACGACAUCUUGGAAGCAUUUGCUUAUCCACCAGAUACAGAGUCAUUAUGUAAAGAAAAUCAACCAUACACACUAACUAUGAUAUUUCUCACUAUGAAGAAAAUGAACCAUCAUCUCAUCAAAAACUAAAUUAACGAAGAUCAUCACCAUGAUUGUACUGAUGCGUACAGGACGACGUACCCUGUGCCUAUUGCCGCGCACUGUGGGCCGCACAGGCAGGCGUCCUCCAACGCGAGAGGGAAGCGUAGGACGGUGGUGGUGGUCACCUCCGUGAGUCAGCACAUGAACAUUUGCCCAGACUGCCACGCGCGCAAACUACUGGCUGGAUCCACACCCUGAGUUUAUCAGAGUGACGUUAGCGACGCUGGAUGAAAUUGCUAAAGUUUAACACAUUCAUACAUUAGUCCAUCCAAAUGGGAGGGAUAAUCUCUAGCUCAUCCAAAAAAGUAGCAUUAGCUGGUGGGGAGAAAUUAAUGGAUGCUAAUGCCUGGUGAAAAGACAGAAAGAGGGAGUUGAGGAGAUAAAAGGGGCAAAGGUGACGUUUCAUGUACUGUAGCUCUAUUCAUUAGCUAUGUCUCUAAAUGAGAGUGCUAAUGAAUGAAUGGAAGUGAUAAACUUUAAAUGGACUAAACUUUAUCACUUACAAAUUUUAGCAAUAGCACAUCCAAUCUAUCCAUUAGCUAUGUCUCUAAAUGAGAGUGCUAAUGAAUGAAUGGAAGUGAUAUACUUAGAUGGACUAAACUUUAGCACUUACAAAUUUUAGCAAUAGCACAUCCAAACAGACACCAGUACUACUCCAAGCAGUAGCUAGAGUAGUUAACUAAUGGCAGUAGGAACUAAACGUACAUGUUGGAAGAAUACCCAACAAUCAUAGCUAGCUAAUCCAUCUCGCUCCGUAUAAUUAUUAUUAUUACUACUUAUCCAACCCCACACCACAUGGCCUCCACCAUUUAUUCAGAGGAGUGCGUCGGAAUUACCUUGUGGCCUCUCUCUCUCUCUCGAUUCUGCUAUUAGCGCCGCGACGCCAAAUGGUUUCACGGAUUAGCCACAUACAUAGGAUGAUCAACCUCAAGUUAUGCUACCAUUUUUCUUUCCAGACAAAAGAAAGUCGAGAUCUGUCACGCCUUUUUUGGAAAGAAUUCCAGGAAAACAAGUGCGAGGAAGAUAGGCUCAUAGAUCCGCUGCGGCGUUGCCCGUUGUGCGGUGCGGGGCUACAAGACUACACGUGGAGUGGUAUACCACAAGAAAAGAAAGAAACGGCCACACCGUACGUAGUGUAGCGGGGAACUACAUCAACUACCACUUCUACUGUAUAAGCGGAGUCGUCGAAAUGGCCGCAGAUGCAUAUACCAAGACCAUCUUCAUCGGCCAAGGCAUUUGACUCGCUGACUGAUUGGAGUCAGGUCUUUUUUUUUUCCUAGCACAAUUUAAUAUUUUUCCACUCCUAUCAGUUGUCACUUUGAGCUGUUACACGAGUGGAACGAAAUUUGAGCUGUUUUACACGCCAUGGUCCGUCGUCGGACACUCAGGCAAAGCAAGCUGUGCUUCCUGAGAUGACCGAACAAGGCGCGCGGAAUAAGGUGACAAUCCAAUCCCGGCAGCAACGACAAGCGCAAGCGGACAAACGAAUAAUUUGCGCCUACCAGUGCACGGGAAUCACGAAUCAGGCGGGCUCAGCCGCUCAGGGCUCAGGCUGGGGUACAAUUCGGAAGGCAGAAAACGAUUUAACACGCCAAGCGCCAACGGAGAAAUUUAGAGGCGCCGUACAGCUAGAAUCAUUAGAAGAUGGGGGCUUGCCCUAGAGUCUAGAUAGAGUGGUACGUCAGAUUUGCUCCGAAAUCCAGUUUAAGCCGGAGAUAAGCCACCACUGUGCCAUACGGGCCCCAAAGUCCAGCCUCCCUGACAUUACCGUUAUGCCAUGUGCGCUUAGCAAUUCCAGCGUGAGCCCAUACCCCAACCACUACCGCCAUUAAACCCCUCCCCCAUCCGCACCGCGCCUCCGAAAUCUAAUCACCCCGUUCGUUUUUACCGUACUGCCCCCCGGCUUCCGCCAUCUAGAAAUUGUACUACCACUAGCAUCAGUGCAGCAGCCAGCAGCUAGCAGUGAAGUGAGCUAGCGAGUGACGUCGCUUUCUCUCUCUCCUCCGGUCAUCCCACACCACCGCUCCCCGACACACGUCCUAUCCCCUCGCCACGCGCCCGAGGCCUCCCCUUCCUCACCCGGCCUCCACGUGGGGUCCCGACCGUCGCGGUCCCGCGCGUCAGCCUCCUCCAGCUCAGACGCACCCCCGGCCAUCGGAAAGCGACCCGCAAAUCCACCCAUCCAUUCCAUCCGCCCACGCCACCCCGGGACGGACGGAGAGAGAAGAGGAGGAGGAAGACUGGAAGAGGGAGAAGGGAAUUAAAAGGGAGUGGAGGGCGACCAAGAAAUCUAGCCUAGCAUUAGCUGGAAACCCGAUCCGGGGCCGGGGGUGACGCCACCGACACGCGCGGCGCGGAUGGGUUUGGAUUUGGAUGGAUGCCUUGCCCAGCGAAGCAAAGCCAAAUCGCACGCCCAAGCCCUCAGAUCAGCACUAAUUACCGCCAGCGAGUGGGAUUAAUUAUUGCUAGAGUCCUGGUGCUGCCCUCACUGACACUGUGGAGUGUGGCGUGGACUGGUAGUCCUCUGCUGUUUGCAGGGAUGAUUAGGCUCGGAAUUGCAGAACUGAAGGGCUGAAUUGAACUUGUAUGGAUGAUGGAUCUAGGCUAGCAGGCUGGGAAAUUUUGGGCGAAGAACUGGCAAGAAUUUAGUAGGGGAGAAGGUGAAAUGGAAACCAUAUAGACUAUACUCCAAUAAAUCAUCCAUCCACAUACACUGUUGUCAAGAGAGAAGCAAGAGAAAGAAAAAAAGAAGUUGAAACGAAAAUUUUCUCUCUACCCCCGCCCAAACCCCGGGCCCGAAUCCAUCAAAACGACCAAAUCCAGAUCUUGAUGCGGACCUUACACU
rnacentral:lncRNA from 1 species